AAAUUUAUUUUCUCAUGGCUGCUGCCGACAACCACUUAAGGGGCAAAUAAAAGGGAGAAAGAAGCUAAUUUUUUGAGAGAGGAAAGAAAAAGUGUAGCUGCUGGUUUAUGAGGGAAAAAGGAAGAGAACUUGCUGCCGAUUUUGAGAGGGAGAAAUGAGGGAAAUUGCUGUCGAUUUUGAGAGGGAAAAAGAAAGAGACUUGCUGCCAGUUUUGAGAGGGAAAAAGAAAGAGUCUUGCUGCCGGAUUCAGGAGGAAAAAGAGAGACAAAGAAUCGGGAAAGAAAGAAGAAAGAAAGGUAAAAAUAUAUAUAUAUAUAUUAAAUAUAAAAAUAUAGAUAUAAUAAUAUAUAUCUACUAAAAUAAUAAUAAUAGAAUAAGAUGAUAAGAAUAAAAAAUAAAAUAAAAUAAAGUAAAGUAUAGAUAUAUAUAUAUUAAUGGGUUUCAAUGUAUAGGAGAAAUAAGUAACGGUGGAACACUGUGGUGGCAGGUCGAAGAAAAAUAACGAACGGCCGGUAGGAAGAAAUAACUAGAUACGUUUACGAAUUAAUAGCGACGUAAUAUCCCGUUAUUAUGAGGUGAGUAUGGGGUGUUCAUUUUAAAAUUUUCGUAAAUAUAUACUUAUAUGUAUGAUUUAUUUUAAACGCGAAAAUUGUGAAUAUCAUGUGCUGAUAGAAAUCUAAGGAAAUUGUGGUUGCAAAUUAUGUUUAGAAAUCGUUUUGAAUAUAUAUGUAUAAAUUAUAUGUAAAAAGUUUUGAAAAUCGGGAAACAAGUCAUUCGAACUGUUUUACCUCAAAAUUUGUGCCUUAUAUUUGUACAGUGUGCAUCUAUGAUUAUAAUGCUUAUUCACCAUGUAAGUUAUUGUUUCGAAAUUCAUGCACAAAUUUUAUUUUAUGAAAAUGAUAAUAUAUUUUAUCAUACCUUGUGUUGAAUACUUUGGAAAUAAUUUUGAGACGAGCUUUUAAGGACAUAACACAAUUUCAAAAUGGUUUUACAAACCGAGAGAUUCGAGAGUAGGUCGGUUGUCACUUCGGUUAAGUGUGACACUCGUACACGAGUGAGCUCUAGCUAGAGAACCAUUGGGUCGUCGACGGGCGAUUAGGCGUGAUUGGGGCCACGGCCUGUGAUAUAUGUAUGCAUGGCUAGGCCACCAGAUGAUUAUGCGAUUGCGACCGUUUGAUUCUCCGAUGUCGACCAACAUCGUGAGACUGCUAUGACAUGUGGGAUCCGGUGGAGCGAGGCUCCCGGAGGUUAUUACGUGGUAGCGGGACCACGGGUUUUAUUUGAUUUCCUACUUGAGACAAAAAUCUCUUUGGGUUUUCAGACUCUUAUUUCUGGCAUGGUGAAACAAAAUUAUACAGUUUCUUGUAGUUUCCUCGCAUUUAUUAUUACAUGAAUUUUACACUCGAGUGCGAGGCUAUUUGCUAACUGUGUAUAAAUUUGGUUACUAUUCACGGGAGCUUGACCAACUUUAUUGGUUUGAUUUGAGUAAAAUGUCAAUUGAGUUUGAUGGCGGAAAUCCUUUUAUGUACGAUUGUUUUAAAACAAUAUUUCAAAUGAUUGUCUUGAAAAAGGUUAUUGAUUUGUUUUUGAGGGGAAACUUUUAUUUACUUGGUUGAUUUACCACUUGAAAUGAUUACAAUGCCUAAGAAAUUUUUUGUUUUUCAUAUAAGGCACAAACAUCCGUUUGAAAUAAAUUGUUUUUAUAAUUUUGCAUUUUUAAUAUCAACUGAUCUGUUGUUUGCUUGUUUUCCAUCUACGCCUUACUCACGGAGCCAAUGAUCACUGAGUCUGUGAGACUCACACCCCUUUUUAUUUCCCUUUUUGCAGACAGUGAUCAGCCUAGUGCGUAAUCAUUGGCGCGUACGGUCCACCGCAGAUAGGUAAAGGUAUCUCAUAGCAUUUUAUCCCGAGUCGCUCCGUUGUUAGAGGUUGAGUUGUAGUACUCUGGUUUUACUAUGUAAACAAAUAUUAGUUUUGAUAUAAAUGAAGAUUUGGGAUUUUUGAACUCAAUGUAUUUAAUUGUGAUGUCAUGACUUAAAGUCAAAAUUUAAUGGCUAUGCUUAUUAUUGAAUUCAUGUUAUAAAUGUAUAUGGAUCAAACAUUAAUAUGGUUUAGUAAAAGUGUACAAUGAGUUAUUGAGAAAUUUCUUUCAGGCUUGUUCGGGACUUAACGGGAUCUCCCGGAGGUCUCGGACGCCGGUAGCGACCGAGGAGGGGUCGUUACAGUGGCAUAGCUCAAUCAAUCACAAUUAAUUCCAAACUCACAUGAAACACUCUGCUGAGUUUAAAGGAACAAUGUAUCGAAAUCUGCUGAGUUUAAACCCCAUUUAUGUGCUUUAUCACAAAGCAAAUCUGCUGUAUCGAAAUCUGUUGCAAUUCAUUACUAUUUGCUUUUUCAUUGUUUAUCUUUUAUUGUUUACUUUUUACUUUCUCUUAUUUUUAGCAAAGAAAAAAUAAAUAAUAAAAGUAUGGAGCCACUUGUUUUUCAUGCAUUAUCAUGAGUUUCUCGACCUAAUCUCUUUUCCUAUAAAAUGUUCUAGAAUCUCCACCAUCUCUAAACACUCAAAAAUCUGCCACUACCCAACCUAAUAUCAUCGCCUCAGUAGUUCAAAAUCCUCUUUGUUCUGAUUUAAAUUGAUCUUGGAUUAAUUAUUUGUAGUCUCCAAGCUCAAUACAUCCUUUCCCUGUUAAAAGAUCUUCUUCUGAAAUGUUAAAUAGUAGAGCUAGAGCACACAAACUCUUGUUCAUGUUCAUAUUUUUGUUAACACUAAAUUUUAGCUUGUCUCAGGUUGAUGAUCUCGAGCUGCUCUUAUCCUUCAAAUCCUCAAUGAAUGAUCCAUCUGGCUUCCUUUCCAACUGGAAUUGCUUUACCCCAUUGUGCCUGUGGCAUGGAAUCACUUGCAACAAUUUCUCUAAAGUAAAGGUAAUUGAUCUCGCUGAGAAAAAUAUUUCUGGAACAAUUUCAUCUUCAAUCUUUCAUUUGUCAAAGAUUGAGACUACCAAUCUUUCCAACAAUGAUCUCUCUGGUGAAAUUCCUUGUGACAUUGUUUCUUUUAUAUCACUUCAAUAUCUUAAUCUCAGUCAAACUAUCUGAUUGGUGCAAUUCCAAAUUGUUCAAUUUCACUAGAAAUAUUGGAUCUUAGUGGUAACAUGUUGUCAGGGAAAAUUCCACCACAAAUUGGUCAAUGCUCGAAUCUAAAAUUACUUGAUCUUUCUGGCAAUUAUUUGGUGGGGAGAAUUCCUAGCUCCAUAUCAAAUAUCAGCAGUUUGCAAAUCUUAACUCUUGCUUAUAAUGAAUUGAUUGGCCAAAUUCCACAUGGGUUAAGCAAAAUGAAGAGCUUGAAGUGGAUUUACUUUGGGCAUAACAACCUUUGUGGCAAAAUUCCACGAGAACUUGUUAAUUUAGUUUCUUUGAAUCAUCUUAAUCUUCUCUAUAACAAUCUCAAGGGACAAAUUCCAUCCUCACUUGGAAACCUCACCAAUCUUCAAUACCUCUUCCUCUACGGAAACAAGCUUAUAGGUUUGCUUCCUCGAUCCAUUUUUGGCCUCAAAAAACUCGUUGAACUUGAUCUUAGUUAUAAUCAUUUAUCGGGUGAGAUUUCAGAACUCAUAAUUGAGUUUCAGAGCUUGGAGAUUCUUCAUCUUUCCUUCAACAACUUUACUGGCAAAAUUCCAAAUGCUCCAGCAUUUUUGCCUCGUCUUCAACUCAUUUGUCUUUCAUUAAACAACUUGACUGGAGAAAUUCCUUCUUUGAUCUGCAAUAUAAGUUCCAUCGAAGUUCUAAACUUAGCUCAUAACAACUUGUGGAAUCAUUCCACCAGGUCUGGGAAACUUUAGCAACCGUCUUUCAAUCUUAGAUUUAUAGAGGAACAGUUUCCAUGGAACUAUCCUUGAAACUUUUCGUGAGGAUUGUGGGUUAAGGAAUCUCAACUUCAAUGGAAAUAAAUAGGAAGGGUCUUGACCAUGAUCCUUGGCCAAUUGUAGAAACUUGGAAAUGAUGGAUAUUGGUGAGAACAAGAUAAGUGGUACAUUCCCUUAUUGGUUGGAUACUCUGCGAGAAGAAUGAGUACUAUGAUUUAGCAAUUAAGACAAGAUCAGGACUGUCAUUCAACUCAUUCAUCUGCUAGGAUUUUUUUCUUAUGAUUAAGCAUCCUUAAAGUCAAGUAUAGGGAGCAAAAGAACGAAUUUCUAUUGUGGAUAGGAAUUCUGAUGGUGAUGAAGACAGACACCUUGCCAGAUACCAAAAUGGAAAUUCUAAAUCAACUUCUUGGGUCCUAAGCUUUACGUGCAAAGAAUCAUCUACCUUUUGAAAUUUCUAGCAAAUUCUGUGGUAUAAAACAUUAGAAUGUAGAAUAUGAACAGAAAAAGGACUUGAGGCAGUUUAGAAUUAAUAAAACACAAAAGCAAGUCAGUAAAUCAGGCUCUUUGCGUGAUUCUCAGGUUUAUGAAUACUUUAAUCAUCCAUUAUCCUUUUCCACUAAAUGCUUGAGUUACACCAAAUAACACUCCAUUUGCUUUCGGAAAUUGCCAAAUCUUGUACUUUUUACCUUAAUCUCUCCUUGUAUUUCUUAUAUCUUCUAUUUGGUUGGAGAUGACUGGGAUUAUUAGACGUGGGAAAAAAGAAAAGAUUAUAGCCCGUGAUUAAGGGUUCAGGUAAGAAGACCAAGAAGACUUAACUUAUUAAUUGAAUCAGGGUCAAUAAAGCUAUCCAAAACAAACCUGCAAUGGAGGAAAAUAGGCAUGUAGGUCCAAACUCAAUGACCCCACUUAUGGGCAAAUCUGCAGUAUCCAUAUCUGUUGCAAUUCAUUACUUUUAACUAUAUAUAUAUAUAUAUAUAUAUAUAUAUAUAUAUAUAUAUAUAUAUAUAUNNAUUAAUAUUAUAUAUAUAUAAAUAUAUAUAUAGAUAUAGAUAUAUCCUUCAUUAGGUGUUGGAAAUUGAUUGGGAACAUCUACGAGUUAAUAAUUAUCAUUUAUGUACAAAAAGUUGAAUUUGGCUUUAACUAAAUGUAUAUAAUAUUAAACGUAAAAUUGAAUUUCGUUUUAUUUAAGAUAUAAAGGGAAGCAAUUAUGUUCUGUUUACUAGUUACUUGUUUAAUGCUUAUCUUCUAUUUUUUAUUUUUUUACCUUCUCUUAUUUUUUGCAAGGAAAAAGUUAAUAACCAAAGCAUGGAGCCAUUCGCUUUUCACGCAUUAUCAUGAGUUUCUUGACGUAAUCUUUUCCCUAUAAAAUGUACAAGAGUCUCCACCAUCUCUAUACCCUCAAAAAUCUGCCUCUACCCACCCUAAUAUCAUCACCUCAAUAGUUCAAAAACCUCUUUGUUCUGAUUUAAACUGAUUUGGGAUUAAUUAUUUUUAGUCUCGAAGCUCAAGACUUCCUUUCCCUGUUAAAAGAUCUUCUUGUAAAAUGUUAUAUAAAACAGCUAGAGCACACAAACUCUUGUUCUUGUUCAUGUUUUUAUUAAUACUAAAUUUUAGCUUGUCUCAGGGUGACGAACUCCAGCUGCUCUUAUCCUUCAAAUCUUCAAUCAAUGAUCCAUCUGGCUUCCUCUCCAACUGGAACUCCUCCACCCCGUUGUGCAUGUGGCAUGGAAUCACUUGCAACAAUUAUUCUAGGAUUAAGGUAAUUGAGCUCAUUGAAAAAAAUAUUUCUGGGACAAUUUCAUCUUCAAUCUUUUAUUUGUCAGAGAUUGAGAUUAUCAAUCUUUCGAUUAAUCAAUUCUCUGGUCAAAUUCCCAAUGAUUUGGUUUCUUCUGUGUCACUUCGAUAUCUUAAUCUAAGUUGCAACAAUUUGACUGGUACAAUUCCAAACUGUUCAAUUUCAUUGGAAAUAUUGGAUCUUUGGAAUAACAGCCUUUCAGGGAAAAUUCCACCACAAAUUGGAGCAUGUUCAAAUUUAAAAGAACUUGAUCUUGGUGGCAAUUAUUUGGUGGGAAGAAUUCCAAGCUCCAUAUCAAAUAUCAGCAAUUUGCAAGACUUGACUCUUGCUGGUAAUGAAUUGAUUGGCCAAAUUCCUAGUGCAUUAAGCAAACUGAAGAGCUUGAAGAGCAUUUACUUUGGCUAUAACCACCUUUCUAGUGAAAUUCCGCAAGAACUUGCUGAUUUAGUUUCUUUGAAUCUUCUUAAUCUUGCCUUCAACAACUUAAGUGGACAAAUUCCUUCCUCGCUUGGAAACCUCACCAAUCUUCAAUACCUCUUCCUCUUCGACAACAAGCUUACAGGUUUGUUUCCUAGAUCUAUUUCUGACCUCAAAAACUUGAUUGAUCUUGAUCUUAGUUAUAAUCAUUUAUUUGGUGAGAUUCCAAAACUCAUAAUUGAGUUGCAGAGCCUAGAGGUUCUUCAUCUUAUCUCCAACGACUUCGCCGGUAAAAUUCCAAAUUCUCUAGCCUCUUUGCCUCGUCUUCAACUGGUCGAUCUUUCAUCAAACAGCUUGACUGGUGAAAUUCCUUCCUUGAUUUGCAAUAUGAGUUCCAUCGUAGUUCUGAACUUAGGUUAUAACAACUUAAGUGGAAUUAUUCCACCAUGUCUAGGAAACUUCAGCAAACGUCUUUCAAUCUUAGAUUUAGAGAGGAAUAAUUUUCAUGGAACCAUCCUUGAUACUUUUCAUGAGGACUGUGGGUUGAGAAAUCUCGACUUAAAUGGCAAUAAAUUGGAAGGGCCUUUACCACGAUCCUUGGCCAAUUGUAGAAAUUUGGAAAUGAUGGACAUUGGUCACAACAAGAUAAGUGGUACUUUCCCUUAUUGGCUGGAUACUCUGCCAAAAUUACAAGUUCUUGUUUUACGAUCAAACAAAUUGUGUGGUGUCUUACAAAGUUCCAACACCAUCCAUCCUUUUCCAAAGUUACGGAUUCUUGAUCUUGCAAACAAUGAAUUCACUGGUCCUUUGCCCAAAGGUAUAGUAAAAAACAUGAAGGCCAUGAUGAAUCUCAACGAACAACAAAGUUCUUUGCAAUAUAUGGACAGAAGAUUUUAUUAUUAUUAUGUAAAUUUGACAGUGAAAGGAUUUUACAUUAAACUUCAUAUCUUGACAACAUUCACAAGCAUUGACCUCUCAAACAAUAACUUUCGUGGAGAGAUUCCAAAUGUUAUUGGAAAGCUUAGUUCACUUAGAGGGCUCAACCUUUCUCAUAAUAGUCUUUGUGGUCAUAUCCCAAUGUCAAUCGGAAAUUUGACCAGUCUCGAAUGGUUAGACCUCUCUUCAAACAAGCUCACCGGUCAAAUUCCUGACCAAUUGAAAGAUAUGACAUUUCUUGCCUGCUUAAAUCUUUCACAUAACCAACUCACAGGACCAAUUCCUCUAGGCAAACAGUUCAGUACAUUUGAAAAUGGCUCAUAUGAAGGAAACUUGGCACUAUGCGGUUUUCCGUUGUCAAAGUCUUGCAACAAUGAUAGGAGAAAACAAACAUCUUCAUCUUUCUUGAAAGAGGCAGAUGACUCAGAGACCAAGAUCAAUUUUGGCUGGAAAGUGGUGUUGAUGGGCUACGGAUGUGGACUGAUAUUUGGAGUCAUUAUUGGAUAUGUUACAUUCAGAAAUGGUGAACCAAAAUGGUUUGUGACAUUGUAUGGAGUCAAAUAUCAUCGAAAGGGAAGAAGAUACUCACGGAACUAAUAACUGCAAAUGACUUUGUAAGUUAUUGCAACAUGUGUUUUCUGUGCUCAGCUCCAAUUGUUUUCAUGGACAUGUCUUUGUAUUUUGCUAUAAGUACUAGUAAUUGUCGUAAUCAAAUAGCCAUGUGUUUCAUCAGUAAAUACAUGGCAGUGAUGUGUGGUUGCUGCUUUUGCUUAAUGCAUGACUUUUCUUGCAAUUUGCUUUUGAUCAUUUAUUCUUACAUGCAUCUGUACAAAAGAACCUCUUUUCUGUCAUGUGGAAAAUAUAGCUACCAUUGCUUCAAUGUUAAAACAGAUACUAAAUUCACCAACUGGAAAAACUAGAAUGACUACUCUUCAAAAACAUUUUAAUAAAACAGUGCAGACCAUUGAAGCAGUUUAAAGGUUUUACAUAGUUAAGAAAAGGAUUUGACUGAUUGGAAAUGGACACAACCUUUGGAGUUAAUUGGAGAGGGAUGCAGCUUCUUGACCAGGAGACUCAACAAGGAAGCUUUGCAAGACAAGAAACCAUGGACGAAGAGAAGAAAUACAAAGGAAAAACUAUAGAACAAUAUUAUCACAAUGCAAGAUCAGUGAAGACAAAAAGUAACCAAUUAGACAAGAUCAGGGUCUCUAGUAUGCUGCUCAAUACGACUCUGUCUCAUAGAAUUCGUUAGAUUGCGAAGGCCAUAACGUCUGACAAUACUGUCACGCACGCUUUCUCCUGAAGGAAGGUCAACAUCGACGGAUUUUGUCUCAUGACGAUACUGUGGAUCUUGGCAGAGAAUCAUAACAGCCUCUGUAGAUUAUCCCUCACCUCCUCUGAAUCAUCAUCUAACAAUUCAACGAAAUGAUUAACAGCUCCUGUUUCAAUUAUUGCCCCUCGAUCUGCCUUGUUAUAACUCAACUGAGAAAUAGCUCCAGCUGCUGUGCCCCUUACGUCACUGUCCUCAGACUACAAAAGCUCAACCAGCUGGGGAAUUGCACCUGAGUUUCUAAUAAAAGGUACUGAAUGCUUGUAAUCUGAAAGGAGCCAGAAAACACAAGCAGCUUUAGCUUUUGCCUCAUUAUUUCCUUUCCCUAAGGAUUCUCACUAAGUGGUCAGCUAUUGAAACCGCAUUUUCUUCAUUAAGAGCUAAUAGACAGAGUGCAUUCUCUGCAACAUCCCAACCAAGAGGAUCAGGUCCCUGAAGAAGCUCGGCUAACAAUGGAAUAGCCCCAGCUUGAGCAACAUGGCCAAGGUAAUCAAUCUGAGUUGAAAUCACUCCAAGGGUAUUGCCUGCCACAAGUUAUAUGUCACUGUCUCCAACUUGAAGCAACUCCACAAGCAGAGGUAUAACACCCAACUCAACAAGCGUACAGUUCCUAGCAGCUAUUUAUAGAGUUUCAGUUUCUUUAUUUUUGCUUUCUCAACAUUUAGAAUAUUAUUAUUAUUUUAAGAUAUUUUAGGUAAUUUUUUUUAAAAAAUAUUAUACUCCAUAUUCGAAACUUUCUUCUUGAAAAACUUAGAAAUAAAAUUCAAAUUUACCAAAUCUAUCACCAUUUUGUAAACAAUGAAAUUUUAUCACUAACUUUGAAAUAACGACAAGAUUUAUAUUUUUACAAAUAAUAAUCACUAAUUAAUGUAAUAAUUCUUAUAAAGUUUAUGCUCAAAUAGACUCUAAUAUUAUAUUUGAUAUUUGGAUGUUUCUUUUUCGUAAACUUGAAAAUAAAAUCUAAAUUUACUAAAUUUAUCACUCAUUUUAUAACAUAUGAAAUUUUAUUAAUAACGACAAAAUAUGUGAAACUUUACACCAAAUGAAAUUUUACCAAUAACAGCAAGAUUUGUAAAGUUUUGUGUUGAAUAAAAUUUUAUCAAUAAGGCAAGAUUUGUGAAGCGGAAUGUCCAUUUCCCAUAUUGAAGGACCGAAACUAAAUUAUAGUCAAAACUUAAAGAAUUGAAAAAAUAAACACAAACAUUUUUGAAAUUCCAAAGUAUAUUGAACAUGGAGCAAUAUUCAACCAAUGCUUUGGGCAAUUGGUCACACGCACCUCUUUCUAAACCAAAAAACCCUAAAAUCAAGGGAAAAACUUAUGACACAAAAAUUUGCUGCCAAUAAUAUAACUGUCACAUACCAAAAUUUAAUCCGUUCUGCACUUCAAUAUCAAAGCAGUGCAAUAGCACGUUCUUUUUUUUUUUACCCUAGUUAUUGAAUCCUGUAAUGAACAAAUAAAAUCGUUCCCUGAGAAUAUUCUGGGUGAUCUGUUCUAUCUAUUCAACACCGAGAUUUAAAGGGGCAACCGGAGGCUGAAUACAGAUUGAAUUUAUAACAUUUGGGACAGAGAACAAUGAGUUGAUGAAACCCCACCUGCAAAUUCGAAGUCAUCAGAAACAAAAGCAAGUCACGAUGCAUAACUUGUUAUUACGGUGCCAAAAUAGAACUGAAUGUCUCUAGCAAAAACUGGAUUCGAAAUGGUUCAGAACGAAAGGAGUAAUUGUUGAAACCUUUCCGAGAAUUACCAGUACAUCAUGGAUUUUGCUGGACUUACCGGUGUAUUAGCGUUAUCCAAUCACCAUAGCCACUAGUACCGCCCAUCUGGUCCUCGAGAAGAUUUACAAAAAGCAGCAAACCUUCCCUGGGUUGCUCACCUUGUCUUACAAGAUAAGAAAAUUGAUAAUACGAACGGUCGCUCUCUCUUAGUUUCUUCAAUACCCCCAUCAGCCUUCUUGACAUUUCAUUAUCAUGCUCGCUAAGGGUAACCUGAUUUUUAAAUAGAAAACAUAAAGAACCAGGUGAAUUAAGUACAACCUCAUCAUGGCACAGCAGGCCAAGGAAAGGUCAAAGGAACAGAUUAACUUCAGAUACGGUUAUCAUGGAGAAAACUUGUAUGCACGCAAGUUUCCAAAAUAUAAAAGAGCCAUCAAAACAAGCUAAGCAUAUUACAUGGAAGAUUACAUUGCCACAGUCUUUGGUUGCAAUUGACAUUCAGUUAUAUAUAUUUAGAAAUUGUAUGAUAAGACCACUCCAAAAUUUCACUUAUUAAUCAAAUCAGACGUAUUGUACUAAAGGCAGAGUUCAUAAAACAGUAAGGCCAACACUUAAGGCACAUCUUAUACAUGUUGAAGACCAACAACAACAUCAGUAUCCUUUUUACAUAAAAUGGUCACUAAAGCAGAUGAAAUAUAUACUAAUAUCCAACAAUCUUGCCACCAUAGAAUAACUUCACCAACAAGAGAUCAUACCUUUGACAAUUCCGCUGCAAAGUCUGCCCCAAGUAAAUUCCUAGCUAUAUCAGGCGAAAGCAUUCUACGAAACCAUAUAACGAAGCGGAAGCCAUCAUCAUAUAUAUAAAGGCCUCUUGAGUCUAGGCUUUCUGCAAUCAAUGGCAGUCUCUUCACAGUGGUUUUUAAAUCAUCAGCUUGAGCAGAUGGCUGCAAAGAUAGGACAGAAGUGAUGUACACUUUGCAAAAUCUACAUCUUUAUUCAAAUUAUUCAAAGGCACAAAAUCUUUCACCUCCAAAAGAUACUCAUCAACGUGAAUCAAGCUAGGAUAUAAAAGAUUCAACAACUUUUUAACAGGUAAUGCCAUCAUGUAAUUUGCUUAUGAUCAUUUAUUCUUACAUGCAUCAGUGCAAAAGAAUCUCAUUCUAUUUAUGUGGAAAAUACAGCUACCAUUGCCUCAAUGUUAAAACAUUAUACAUCUUAGAAACAGAUACUUCUUUCACCAAUUUGAAAAUCUUGGGCCCGAUACAAUGCUGGGAUGGAAAGGCGGUGAAUUCAGAGGUAACUGCAAAUGGCGAUUCCAGAAUAUUUUUUAAAAAAUCAAUGAAAAUCACAUUAUUGAAAAAUAAUUAAGAUGCUAUUAUUCUUUUAAAAAUUUAUAUAUUGAUAUCACCAAAAAUUUUUAAAAAAAUACACAUGAUAAUUAAUCCUCAUAAAAAAAUAUAUACAAAUAAGGGCGGAGCUAGUCAACUUUUAUUGGGGGGUUAAAGAUGAAGAUGAAUAAUGUAUAAAAUAUAAAUAAUUAAAAACAAUAUACAAAAUUAAUAAUUUUCUCUUAUAUAAUUAAGAUUGNNNNNNNNNNNNNNNNNNNNNNNNNNNNNNNNNNNNNNNNNNNNNNNNNNNNNNNNNNNNNNNNNNNNNNNNNNNNNNNNNNNNNNNNNNNNNNNNNNNNNNNNNNNNNNNNNNNNNNNNNNNNNNNNNNNNNNNNNNNNNNNNNNNNNNNNNNNNNNNNNNNNNNNNNNNNNNNNNNNNNNNNNNNNNNNNNNNNNNNNNNNNNNNNNNNNNNNNNNNNNNNNNNNNNNNNNNNNNNNNNNNNNNNNNNNNNNNNNNNNNNNNNNNNNNNNNNNNNNNNNNNNNNNNNNNNNNNNNNNNNNNNNNNNNNNNNNNNNNNNNNNNNNNNNNNNNNNNNNNNNNNNNNNNNNNNNNNNNNNNNNNNNNNNNNNNNNNNNNNNNNNNNNNNNNNNNNNNNNNNNNNNNNNNNNNNNNNNNNNNNNNNNNNNNNNNNNNNNNNNNNNNNNNNNNNNNNNNNNNNNNNNNNNNNNNNNNNNNNNNNNNNNNNNNNNNNNNNNNNNNNNNNNNNNNNNNNNNNNNNNNNNNNNNNNNNNNNNNNNNNNNNNNNNNNNNNNNNNNNNNNNNNNNNNNNNNNNNNNNNNNNNNNNNNNNNNNNNNNNNNNNNNNNNNNNNNNNNNNNNNNNNNNNNNNNNNNNNNNNNNNNNNNNNNNNNNNNNNNNNNNNNNNNNNNNNNNNNNNNNNNNNNNNNNNNNNNNNNNNNNNNNNNNNNNNNNNNNNNNNNNNNNNNNNNNNNNNNNNNNNNNNNNNNNNNNNNNNNNNNNNNNNNNNNNNNNNNNNNNNNNNNNNNNNNNNNNNNNNNNNNNNNNNNNNNNNNNNNNNNNNNNNNNNNNNNNNNNNNNNNNNNNNNNNNNNNNNNNNNNNNNNNNNNNNNNNNNNNNNNNNNNNNNNNNNNNNNNNNNNNNNNNNNNNNNNNNNNNNNNNNNNNNNNNNNNNNNNNNNNNNNNNNNNNNNNNNNNNNNNNNNNNNNNNNNNNNNNNNNNNNNNNNNNNNNNNNNNNNNNNNNNNNNNNNNNNNNNNNNNNNNNUUUUUUUUGAAGUCCAAUUCACCCCUUUUUUGGAUAUUCUUGCCAAUUAUUCAUUGACCUAACACUUUUAACAAUUAUGAAGACAAAAUUCCUGAUUUCAUUGCUUUACUACUUUACGUGGAUGACACAUUGAUUGGCAACACUUCAACAUAGGCUAUAGCUGAUGUAAUGUUAUUUUGGAGUUCACAUUUCAAACUCAAGGAUCUUGGAAUAGUCAAAAUCUUUUUAGGGUUAGAAAUGGUAAGGUUUCUUGAGAGUAUUUCCAUUUGUCAAUGGAAACAUACCUUCAAUCUCUUGGAGGAACAUGGUUUACUAGGUGCUAAAUUAGUUUAUACUCUUAUUAACUAUAACCACAAAUUACUCAAGGUUCAAGAUGAGGAAAGGUUAGCUAAUCCAAUAGACUACAGGUAAUUAGUUGGAAAAUUACUUUAUCUCAUAUUCAAUAGGCCGUUGAAAAGCAAUCAAUUAACCAUAUCAUGUUUUAAAAAGAAAAAUAAUCAAUUUUAUUUUAGCAUAUUUAAAAGAAAAAUAGUUAGUUGAAAAAAAAAUCAGUAGAAGUUAAGUCAGUUUUAUAUCAUCAGGUUUACAAGAAAGGUAGUUAGAAGAAUGAGAAAAAGAAAAAAGAUAGAGAAAUGAGAAAAAUAUUUAAGGAACUACUAAUUAAAUUAUGAUUAGGUCUUGUAUUUUUGUUAGUUUAGGCACAAAAGCUUUUAAUUGUUUUGUAUUUCAAUAAUUUCUAUUUAAAUCUGAUACUGUUUUAGUCACUUUUCGAUGGCAUAAUAGGUACUAAUGGAAAUGUCUUGAAAUGAUCUUUCUAAUGGUUUUUGUAGCAUUUCAUUUGGCUUUGUGGUUAGGAAGAUAUGAUUUGUUGAAGUUAACUGGAAACCCAUUUUUAAUAGUGUUGACGACCCAAACUUGGGUCAUUGGAACUCCACAUUUUGGUAACAUUUUGAGUCAUUUCUUUGAGGGUUUUUAUAGUAUGAAAUGUGCUGUUUGAUUUGGUAUUAUUGGCUCAAUUACAGGCUUUCUGCAUUAAGAGAAUCAAAGCCUCAAACUAGGCUCAUUGAAUCUAGAAACUUAGAAAUCUAGGUUUUUCAGUGAUAAUUUUGUAACUUUUGAUUUUUGAAAAUUGUGUUUCUGACUACCGUUGUUUCUAAGACGAAUUGAGAUUUUAGAGUAUAUUAUAUAAGGUUCAAUUUAAUACUUAGUACACUUUUGGUUUCAACUUAAGUUGUAAGCUAUAAGUGCUUGAAGUAAACCAAAUGGACAUAAAAAUCUGUAAUUUCAAAAUUUAUGAAAAUUUAUUUUUAAUUAUUUCAAAAAUUAUUUUUGAUCUAUAUUCGUCAUAUUUGAUAGAAACUUUAGAAAUUUAAGUUAUUUAAAUUUUAUUUAAUUUUGUAAGAAUAAAUAUUUAUUUGAAAAAUUAGUUUGAAUUGGCAAAUUUUGAAAAAAAAAUCGUUAGCAAUAUUCAAGAGUCAAGUUUUAAUUAGCAUUUAAAGCAUUUUUAUCAAACUUUAUAUUUGUUAAUGAUUUGGUAUUUUAACCUAUGAGUUUUGAAUGUUUUAUGUAUUUAUACAUUAUUAAAGAAAAUCAAUUUUAAUUUUUAAGUAAAAUUAGUUUUGGUUAACAAAAGAGGUGUUACACCCUAAAUGUCUUAGAAUGACUAGCCAGGAGUCAUGGUUCGUAUUCAUAAGGUAGUAGUGUUAGUUUCUAAUUUCGAGUAUAUUGAAUUAAUAGGCUUUAGGAUGAUUUCGAUUCUUUGUUCUUUGGUUUUGGUUUAGCGAAUCAGAUAAGUGACUGAUAGCUUUUCGGUAUUUUCACAUCCUAAAAUUAGCCUUAAUGUGAUUUUUGUACUUGUAUAUUAUAUUUCAUCCUAGGGUUUGUUAAAUCGGGGUGAGCAUGUUGAUAUAUAUGUAAAUAUGAUCUGCAUGUUGAUUUUGAAAUAUGAUUUCAAUUUUGUUUUUGAAAUGUGAUUCUUUGUUAAUGUAUCCAUAUAUGUUUUUGUGAAUACAAACAAAAAAAUUUAGUCUGAAAUGAAUAUGCUUUGGAUGUACAUUAGACAUGUUUUAGGAAAAUGAAUAUACUGUUUUGUGCAAUUGAGUUAUCUAAAAAUAAAAGUAUUGUUUUAUCUCUUAAUAUAGCUAUGCUCUGACCUUGCUAAUGGGGGUUAAAUGUUGAUCAUGUUGACAUAAAUUUUAUGAUUGGAGAUUGAUCUCCGACUUGCACCACUGGUUAUAAAAUAAUGGUAUUUGUGAUAUUUGUUCAGUACGACCAAUAGUUGCUUUUGAUAUACUUCUAACUCAAGCCACUAGGGUUAAUUGUGGUUUUGAUUCUGAUUCGUGCCACUGGGUUAAUUGUGGUUUUCUAUUUCUGACCUAUGCCACAGGGAUUAAGUGUGGUCGUAGCAUGUUACGUGAGACCAUUAAAAGUUAAAUAUGGUGAAUAUAUUUGUUCUGUUAUUUGAAUGCGCAAAUUUUGAAGUAUGUGAUUCCAAAUAAGAUUACCCAAUAUUUUGUCUUGGCAUUUGUAAAUGAUAUUUUGCCCUGAAUGUUUUAAGCAUGCUUAAUCCAGCUGAAAGGGAUGUUAGUUAUUUGCUGAGUAGUUGGACUCACCCCUUCCUUUAAAUUUUUUUCAGGUUGAUGAUUUGGCCAACCACGCGGGAAUUUUGGGGAGUGAUGUUUAAUUUAGUAGCAUUUAAAUUAUCUAAGAUUUAUUUAAAUAUUAUGAACAUCGAACUAUCUUAAUUAAUAUUCAGACUUUUAUCUUGACUUAGUAGCUUUAUGGUUUUGGAGAUUUAAUUUUGAAUAUUGUCGAAUUAUGAUAUUUGGAAAUUCUAUCAACAGAUAUAGUUUGUAAAUCACUAAAUUCUUCAGGUAUAUCAGUCUCUUUUAGUAAUGAUUUAAGAUAUAUAUUUUAGAGCCUUGCAUGUCUGUAGGAUUAUACCUUACAGGUAUGCGGCGUCUGUCAUGUCUCAGGUCUGGGGUGUGACAGAAGCUAUCUAAAAGCAAACCUGCAUUGGAGAAAAAUGUGGAUGUAGGUCCAAAUUCAAUCACCCCAUUAAUUUAUGUGCUUAUCACAAAGCAAAUCUGCAGCAUAGAAAUCUGUUGCAAUUCAUUACUAUUAAAUAUAUAAGUGCUUCACGAGGUGUUGAAAAUGGACCUGGAUCUUCUACAAGUUAAUAUCAUGGGUUUCUCAAUCGAUGGUCUUUCAUCUUGGGAUAAAAAAUUAAAUCUGUCAUCAACUUCUUGGGUCCUAAGCUUGACGCACAAAGAAUCAUCUGCCUUUUGAAAUUUCUGGCAAAUGCUGUGAUAUAAAAACAUUAGAAUGUAGAAUAUGAACAGAAGUAGGACUUGAGGCAAUUUAGAAUUAAUAAAAACACAAAAGCAAGUCAGUAAAUCAGGUUCUUUGCGUGAUUCUAAGGUUUACGAAUACUUAAAUCAUCCAUUAUCCUUUUCCACUAAAUGCUUGAGGUGCACCAAGUAAGACUCCAUUUGCUAUCGGAAAGUGUUCAUAACCCGUGAUUAAGGGUUCUGGUAAGAAGACCAAGAAGCCUUAACGUAUUGAAUCAGGGUCCAUAAGCUAUCCAAAAGCAACCUGAAAUGGAGAAAAAUAGGCAUUUAGGUCCAAGCACAAUCACCCCACUUAUGGGCAAAUGUGCAGUAUCCAUAUCUGUUGCAAGUUAUUACUUUUAACCAUAUAUUUAUUUAUAUAUAUAUCCUUCGUUAGGUGCUGGAAAUUGAUUGGAUUUGGUUUUAACCAAAUGAACAUAAUAUUAAACUUCAAAUUGAAUUUCGUUUUAUUUAAGAUAUAAAGGGAAGCAAAGCAAUUAUGUUCUGUUUACUAUUUGCUUUUUAAUUGUUUAUCUUUUCUUUUUUACUUUUUACUUUCUCUUCUUUUUUUGCAAAGAAAAGGUAAAUAACAAGAGGAUGGAGCCACUCGUUUUUCACGCAUUAUCAUGCGUUUCUGGACCUAAUCUUUUGCCUAUAAAAUGUUCAGGAGUCUCCAUCUCUAUACACUCAAAAAUUUGCCUCUACCCACCCUAGUAUCAUCACCUUAAUUGUUCAAACACCUCUUUGUUCUGAUUUAAAUUGAUUUUGGAUUAAUUAUUUUUAGUCUUCAACCUCAAGACUUCCUUUCCCUGUUGAAAGAUCUUCUUGCAAAAUGUUAAACAAAACAGCUAAAUCACACUCACUGUUCUCCAUGUUUAUGUUUUUAUUAGUACUAAAUUUUAGCUUGUCUCAGGUUGACGAACUCAAGUUGCUCUUAUCCUUCAAAUCUUCAAUCAAUGAUCCAUCUGGCUUCCUCUCCAACUGGAAUCCCCCUACCCCAUUGUGCCUGUGGCAUGGAAUCAGUUGCAACAAUUUUUCUAGGGUAAAGGUAAUUGAUCUUGCUGAGAAAAACAUUUCAGGGACAAUUUCAUCCUCAGUCUUUCUUUUGUCAAAGAUGGACACUAUCAAUCUUUCAAAAAACAAACUCUCUGGAGAAAUUUCUUCUGAAUUGGUUUUCUCUUCGUCACUUCGAUAUCUUAAUCUUAGUCAUAACUAUUUGACUGGUGUGAUCUCAAAUUGUUCAAUUUUACUAGAAAUAUUGGAUCUUGAGGAUAACAUGUUUUCAGGGAAAAUUCCACCCCAAAUUGGAGUGUGUUCGAAUUUGAAAGUACUUAAUCUUGGUGGCAAUUAUUUGGUUGGGAGAAUUCCAAGCUCCAUAUCAAAUAUCCGCAGUUUGCAAAUCUUGAUUCUUGCUGCAAAUGACUUGAUUGGCCAAAUUCCAUGUGCAUUAAGCAAAAUGAAGACCUUGAAGAGGAUUCAUCUUGGCUAUAACAAUCUUUCUGGUGAAAUUCCACAAGAACUUGUUGAUAUUGUUUCUUUGAAUUAUCUUGAUCUUGCCUUCAACAACCUUAGCGGACAAAUUCCAACCUCACUUGGAAACCUCAGCAAUCUUCAAUACCUCUACCUCUUCAAUAACAAGCUUACAGGUUUGCUUCCUAGAUCCAUUUCUGGCCUUAAAAAGCUUAUCGAACUUGAUCUUAGUCAAAAUUAUUUAUUUGGUGAGAUCCCAGAACUCAUAAGUGAGUUGCAGAGCUUGGAGAUUCUUCAUCUUUUCUCCAACGACUUUACCGGUAAAAUUCCAAAUUCUCUAGCAUCUUUGCCUCGUCUUCAAGUGGUUAGCUUUCUCUCAAACAGCUUGACAGGAGAAAUUCCUUCUUCGAUCUGCAAUAUAAGUUCCAUCGAAGUUCUAGACCUAGCUGAUAACUACUUAAGUGGAAUAAUUCCACCAUGUCUAGGAAACUUCAGCAAAUAUCUUACAAUCUUAGAUCUACAGAUGAACAGUUUUCAUGGAACCAUCCUUGAAAUGUUUGGUGAGGACUGUAGGUUAAGGAAUCUCAACUUCAAUGACAAUAAAUUGCAAGGGUCUUUACCAAGAUCAUUGGCCAAUUGUCGAAACCUGGAAAUGAUGGAUAUUGGUGGUAACAAGUUAAAUGGCACAUUCCCCUAUUGGUUGGAAACUCUACCAGAAUUACAAGUUCUUGUUUUACGGUCAAACAAAUUGCGUGGUGUCUUACAGAGUUACAAGACCAUCCAUCCCUUUCCCAAGUUACGGAUUCUUGACCUUGCUAAUAAUGAAUUCACUGGUCCUUUGCCCAAAGGUAUAAUAAAAAACAUGAAGGCCAUAAUGAAUCUCAGUGAACAACAAAGUUCUUUGCAGUAUAUGCAUGACAGAUAUUAUACAUAUUAUCUCAGUUUGACAGUGAAAGGAUUUUACAUUGAACUUCCUCUCUUGACAACAUUCACAAGCAUGGACCUCUCAAACAAUAACUUUCAUGGAGAGAUUCCAAAUGUUAUUGGAAAGCUUAGUUCACUUAGAGGGCUCAACCUUUCUCAUAACAGUCUUAAUGGUCAUAUCCCAAUGUCUAUGGGAAAUUUGACUAGUCUCGAAUGGUUAGACCUCUCUUCAAACAAGCUCACCGGUCAAAUUCCUGACCAAUUGAAAGAUAUGACAUUUCUUGCCUUCUUAAAUCUUUCAUAUAACCAACUCACAGGACCAAUUCCUCAAGGCAAACAGUUCAGUACAUUUGAAAAUGGCUCAUACAAAGGAAACUUGGCACUAUGCGACUUUCCAUUGUCAAAGUCUUGCAACAACAAUGGGAGAAAACAAUCAUCUCCAUCAUUCUUGAAAGAGGCAGAUGACUCAGAGACCAAGAUCAGUUUUGGCUGGAAAGUUGUGUUGACGGGCUACGGAUGCGGAUUGAUAGUUGGAGUCAUUAUCGGAUAUGUUACUUUCAGAAAUGGUGAACCAAAAUGGUUUGUGACAUUGUAUGGAGUCAAAUAUCAUCGAAAGGGAAGAAGAUGCUCACGAAACUAGUCAAUGCAGAUGACUUUGGAAGUUAUUGCAACAUGGGUUCUCUGUACUCUGUUCCAGUUGUUUUCGUGGAUGUGUCUUUGUAUUUUGCUAUUAGUACUAGUUAUUGCUGUAAUUAAAUAGCCAUGUGUUUCAUCAGCAAAUACAUGGCAGUGAAGUGUGGUUGCUGCUUUUGCUUAAUGCGUGACUUCUCUCACAAUUUUGCUCUUGAUCAUUUAUUCUUACAUGCAUCUAUACCAAAGAAUCCCAUUUUUGUUUAUGUGAAAAAUACAGCUACCACUGCCUUAAUGUUACAUCAGAUACUAAAUGCAUCAAUUGGAAAAAGUAGAAUGACUACUCUUCAAAAACAAUAUUUAUAUAAAAAAAAAAGUGCAAAGCAUUGAAGCAGUUUAAGGGCUUUACAUAGUUAAGAAAAAGAUUUGACUGAUUGCAAAUGGAAGCAACCUUUGGGGUUAAUUGAAGAGGGAUGCCGCUUCUCGAUCAGGUGAAUCGAGAAGGAAGCUUUGCAAGACUAGAAAACAAGGAAGAAGAAGAGAAAUACAAAGGAAAAACUAUAGAACAAUAUUUUCACAAUGCAAGAUCAGUGAAACCAAAAACCAACCAAGUAGACAAGAUCAGGGUCUAUAGUUUGCUGCUCAAUACUACUCUGUCCUAUAGAAUUCAUUAGAUUACGAAGACCAUAAAGUCUGAUAAUACUGUCUCGCAAGCUUAUGAAUACUUAUAUUAUCCACUAUCCUUUUCCAUUAAAGAAGACUCCAUUUGGUUUCGGAAAGUGCCAAUCUCCUACUUUUUACCUUCAUCUCUCCUUUUACAUUUCUUAAAUCUUCUAAGUUUUUAUGAGAUGACAGAGAUAUGAGAUUAAUGUGGAAAAAAGGAAGAGAAAUUAUAGCUGGUGAUUAAGAAGGCCAAGAAGACUUAAGGUAUUGAAUCAGGGUCAAAAAGGCUAGCCUGCAAUGGAGAAAAAUGGUGAUGUAGGUCCAAAUUCAAUCACCCCAUUAAUUUAUAUGCUUUAUCACAAAGCAAACCUGCAGUAUGAAAAUCCGUUGCAGUUCAUUACUUUUAAUUAUAUAUGUGCUUCAUUAGGUGUUGAAAAUUAACGGGGAUCUUCUACAAGUUAAUAUCAUGGGUUUCUCAAUGUUGUGUUGAUGGGCUAUGGAUGGGGACUGAUAUUUGGAGUCAUUGUCGGAUAUAUUACAUUCAGAAAUGGUGAAUCAAAAUGGUUUGUGACAUUGUUUCAAGUCAAAAAUCAUGGAAAGGGAAGACAAUGCUCAGGAAACUAGUCAAUGCAUGACUUUGGAAGUUAUUACAACAUGUGUUUCUCUGCACUCAAUUCAAGUUGUUUUCAUGGACUUGUCUUUCUAUUUUGCUAUAUGUAUUAGUAAUUGCUAUCAUAAAAUAGCCAUGUGUUUCAUCAGCAAAUACAUGGCUAUCAUAAAUUGUUUUAGAAUGUAUUGAUUAAUCCAGGAAUUUAUCUAGCAAAUAUCAUGGCUUGCCUUUGGCCGAGCUGUCGACAUUAAAUUUGAAUUGACCAGUGGGGGUGGAGACCAUGAAGUAGUCUCAUAACAACUUAAAUGGCACAAUUCCAUAAUGUUUGGGAAACUUCAGCAAACGUCUUUCAGUCUUGGAAUUGCGAAUGCAUAGGUUUCAUGGAUCCAUUCCUGAGACAUUUGACAAGUACUGUGGCUUGAAGAAUCUUAACAUCAACGGUAAUAAAUUGGAAGGGUGAUUACCACCAUCUCUGGCCAAUUGUAGAAACAUCGAAGUGUUGGAUCUUGGUAACAACAAGAUCAAGGAUACAUUCCCUCGCUGGUUGGAAACACUACCAGAAUUGCAAGUUCUUGUUUUAAGAUCAAACAAAUUGCACAGUUUCUUGCCAGGUCCCAAGAUCAGCCAUCCUUUUCCCAAGUUACGAAUUUUGGACCUAGCUAACAAUGAUUUCACCGGCCCUUUUCCCAAAGGGUACAUUGAUGUGGAAUCGCAAUGAACAACAAACUUCUUCAUAUAUGCAAGCAGGAAAUUUGUCUUAUCAUUACUCUGUGAGUUUAACUGACAAAGGAUUUGAGAUUGAAUUUGAGAAAAUUUUGACAACAUUCACAAGCAUUGAUCUCUCAAAUAAUAAGUUUGAUGGAGAGAUUCCAAUUGUUAUUGGAAAGCUUAUUUAACAUUGAGGGCUCAACAUCUCUCAUAAUAGCCUUAGUGGUCAUAUCCCUGCAUCUAUGGGAAAUUUGAAGAGUCUUGAAUGGUUAGACUUCUCUUCAAACAAGCUCAAUGGACAGAUUCCUCAGAAACUGACAGAUCUGACAUUAAUUUCUUGCGUUCUUAAACCUUUCACAUAACCAACUCGUAGGACCCAUUCCUAAUGGCAAACAGUUCAGUACAUUUGAAAAUGCUACGGAGGAAACUUGGGACUAUGUGGGUUUCCAUUAUCAAAAGGUUGCAGCAAAGAUAAGAGACAACAACCACCUUCAGCAAUCUUGGAAGAGGCAGAUGAGUUGGAGACUGAAAGCAGUUUUAGUUGGAAAGGUGUGUUGAUAGGAUACGGAUGUGGACUGAUAUUUGGAGUUGUCAUUGGAUAUGUUGCACUCAAAACAGGUAAAGCAAAACGGUUUGUGGCAUUGGUUCAAGGAAAACAUGAUUGAAAGGCAAGAAGAUGCUCAUGGAAUUAGGCAAUGCAGAUGACUUUGGCAAGGCGUUGGUAGCAUUUGCUUCUGUGUGUUUACUUCCAGAUAUUCUCGGUCCUGUUAGAGCUGAACCAGGCAUUGACUUUAUCAUUUUGUCUGUUAUGGCUUUGCUUGGUUGUACUGGUUGUUGAGUGUUUUGCACAGGUGCCUAUGAUGUGUCAUCUUGCAUGCUUAGUUUUAGAUGCAGCUUAACACUUGUCUUUUGUGUUAACAGCUGUUAAGCUUAUAUAAUUUGUAUAAAUAUUUUGCUUAUAGUUGAAUGAAACCAGUGCAGAACUUUCAGCUUACUUUCCUCUCGGUUUUACCAGCUUUCACUAAUACAUACCAGAGCAUCAUAGGUUAUCGUUGGCUCUGUUAUGCUUUAACAAAAUUUGUUGUCUCUCAUAGUUUCCUUACAGGUCCACGGUCAAGUAUUCAUGGUCAUGGUUUUGUCAUUACCGUAAGUUUUGGUAAUAUGCAGUUAUAAAAUAUCCAUGUAUUUCAUCAGCAGAUCAUAUAAUUAAAUGAUCAGGUUAGAAAUCCUCUACUCAGAGAGAUGCUAGGAUUUUGUACGAAUAGGAUUCUGAUUGUGAGGAAGAAAGUCACUUUGCCAGAUAGCCAAAAGGAAAAUCAGACAGAGAAUUUGCAGGAAAACUUAUUGCAGAGUGAACUCACCAGCAUAAAGCUUCCAAUGUGUGAAGAUAUUGAAGUCUAUGGUCUUCCAUCUUGGGAUAAAAAUAAAUAAAUCUAUCAUCAACUUCUUGGGUCCUAAGCUUUAGGUGCAAAGAAGCAUCCACCUUUUGAAAUUUCUGGCAAAUGCUGUGAUAUAAAAACAUUAGAAUGUAGAAUAUGAACAGAAAAUGGACUUGAGGCAAUUUAGAAUUAAUAAAAACACAAAAGCAAGUCAAUAAGUCAGGUUCUUUGCGUGAUUCUCGGGUUUAUGAAUACUUAAAUCAUCCAUUAUCCUUUUCCACUAAAUGCUUGAGUUACACCAAAUAAGACUCCAUUUGCUUUCGGAAUGUGCCGAAUCUUCUACUUUUUACCUUCAUCUCUCCUUGUACAUUUCUUAUAUCUUCUAUUUGAGACGGGGUUGGAGAUGACUGGGAGAAAAAGGAAAAGAUUAUAGCCCGUGAUUAAGGGUUCAGGUAAGAAGAACUAGAAGACUUACCGUAUUGAAUCAGGGUCAAUAAAUACAGCUAUCUAAAAUCAACAUGCAAUGGAGAAAAAUAGGCAUGUAGGUCCAAACUCAGUUACCCCACUUAUGGCCAAGUCCGCAGCCCCCAUAUCUGUUGCAAUUCAUUCCUCUUAGCUGUAUAUUUAUAUAUCUUUCAUUAGGUGUGGGAAAUUGAUUGGGAACAUCUACAAGUUAAUAAUUAUCAUUUUAGGACAAAGAUUUGAAUUUCAUUUUAACCAAAUGUAUAUAAUAUAAAGCACCUGAGCAUUUGAUUCAUUGAUUGGUGUAUGAUCUCCUACCUAAAGAGCAUGGUCCGAAUCCCCUACCCUUCAAUUAAAAAUAGUGUAUAUAAUAUUAAACUUAAAAUAGAAUUUCGUUUUAUUUAAGAUAUAAAGGGAAGUAAUUAUAUUCUGUUUACUAUUUACUUGUUUAAUGCUUAUCUUUUACUUUUUAUUUUUUUACCUUCUCUUAUUUUUUGCAAAGAAAAAGUUAAUAACAAAAGCAUGGAGCCACUUGCUUUUCACGCAUUAUCAUGAGUUUCUUGACGUAAUCUUUUCCCUAUAAAAUGUUCAAGAGUCUCCACCAUCUCCAUACCCUCAAAAAUCUGCCUCUACCGACCCUACUAUCAUCACCUCAAUAGUUCAAAAACCUCUUUGUUCUAAUUUAAAUUGAUUUGGGAUUAAUUAUUUUUAGUCUCAAAGCUCAAGACUUCCUUUCCCUGUUAAAAUAUCUUCUUGUAAAAUGUUAUAUAAAACAGCUAGAGCACACAAACUCUUAUUCAUGUUCAUGUUUUUAUUAAUACUAAAUUUUAGCUUGUCUCAGGGUGACGAACUCCAGCUGCUCUUAUCCUUCAAGUCUUCAAUCAAUGAUCCAUCUGGCUUCCUCUCCAACUGGAACUCCUCCAUCCCGUUGUGCAUGUGGCAUGGAAUCACUUGCAAUAAUUUUUCUAGGAUUAAGGUAAUUGAGCUCACUGACAAAAAUAUUUCUGGGACAAUUUCAUCUUCAAUCUUUCAUUUGUCAGAGAUUGAGACUAUCAAUCUUUCGAAUAAUCAAUUAUCUGGUCAAAUUCCCAAUGAUUUGGUUUCUUCUGUAUCACUUCGAUAUCUUUAUCUUGGUUACAACAAUUUGACUGGUACAAUUCCAAACUGUUCAAUUUCAUUGGAAAUAUUGGCUCUUUGGAAUAACAGCCUUUCAGGGAAAAUUCCACCACAAAUUGGAGCAUGUUCAAAUUUGAAAGUACUUAUUCUUGGUUACAAUUAUUUGGUGGGGAGAAUUCCAAGUUCCAUAUCAAAUAUCAGCAGUUUGCUAAUCUUAAGUCUUGAUUGUAACGAAUUGAUUGGCCAAAUUCCUCGUGCAUUUAGCAAACUGAAGAGCCUGGUGUGGAUUAACUUUGGCGUUAACCACCUUUCUGGCAAAAUUCCACAAGAAUUUGUUGAUUUAGUUUCUUUGAUUUCUCUUGAUCUUGCCUACAACAAUUUCAGUGGACAAAUUCCUUCCUCGCUUGGAAACCUCACCAAUCUUGAAUACCUCUCCCUAUUUAACAACAAUCUCAACGGACAAAUUCCAUCUUCAUUCGGAAACCUCACCAAUAUUAAAACUCUUUACCUCUACAACAACAAUCUCAAUGGACAAAUUCCAUCCUCACUUGGAAACCUCACCAAUCUUCAAUAUCUCUACCUCUAUAGAAACAAGCUUACAGGUUUGCUUCCUAGAUCCUUUUUUGGCCUCAAAAAGCUUAUUCACCUUGAUCUUAGCGAGAAUCAUUUAUUUGGUGAGAUCCCAGAACUCAUAAUUGAAUUGCAGAGCUUAGAGGGUCUUCAACUUUUCUCCAACGACUUUACGGGUAAAAUUCCAAAUGCUCUAGCAUCUUUGCCUUAUCUUCGAAGGUUUAGUAUUUACUCGAACAACUUGAUGGGAAAAAUUUCUUCUUUGAUCUGCAAUAUAACUUCUAUUGAAGUUCUUGAUCUAUCUUAUAACAACUUAAGUGGAACCAUUCCACCAUGUCUGGGAAACUUCAGCAAAGGUCUUUCAAUCUUAGAUUUGCAGAUGAAUAGUUUUCGUGAAACCAUCCCUGAAACUUUUGGUGAGGACUGUGGGUUGAGGUAUCUCAGCUUCAACGGUAAUAAAUUAGAGGGUUCUUUACCACGAUCCAUGGCCAAUUGUAGAAAGCUGGAAGUGAUGGAUAUUGGUGGCAACAAGUUAAAUGGCACAUUCCCCCAUUGGCUAGAUACCCUGCAAGAAUUACAAGUUCUUGUUUUACGGUCAAAUAAAUUGCGUGGUGUGUUACAAAGUUCCAAGACUAUCUAUCCUUUUCCCAAGUUACGGAUUCUUGACCUUGCUAACAAUGAAUUCACAGGUCCUUUACCCAAAGGUAUAAUAAAAAACAUGAAGGCCAUGAUGAAUCUCAAUGAACAACAAGGUUCUUUGCAAUAUAUGCAUGGAGAAUAUUAUAAUUAUUAUGUCAAUUUGACAGUGAAGGGAUUUUACAUUGAACUUAAGAUCUUGUCAACAUUCACAAGCAUAGACCUCUCAAAUAAUAACUUUGAUGGACUGAUUCCAAGUGCAAUUGGAAAGCUUUAUUCACUUAUAGGGCUCAAUCUUUCUCAUAACAGCCUUAGUGGUCAUAUCCCUGUAUCAAUGGGAAAUUUGACCAAUCUUGAAUGGUUAGACCUCUCUUCAAACAAGCUCACCCGUCAAAUUCCCUAUCAAUUGAAAGAUAUGACAUUUCUUGCUUUCUUAAAUCUUUCAUAUAACCAACUCACAGGACCAAUUCCUCAAGGCAAACAGUUCAGUACAUUUGAAAAUGGCUCAUACAAAGGAAACUUGGCACUAUGCGGCUUUCCAUUGUCAAAGUCUUGCAACAACGAUGGGAGAAAACAAUCAUCUCCAUCAUUCUUGAAAGAGGCAGAUGACUCAGAGACCAAGAUCAGUUUUGGCUGGAAAGUUGUGUUGAUGGGCUAUGGAUGCGGACUGAUAUUUGGAGUCGUUAUUGGAUAUGUUACAUUCAGAAAUGGUGAACCAAAAUGGUUUGUGACAUUGUAUGGAGUCAAAUAUCAUCGAAAGGGAAGAUGUUCACGGAACUAGUCAUUGCAGGUGACUUUGGAAGUUAUUGCAACAUGUGUUCUCUGUGCUCAGUUCUAGUUGUUUUCAUGGACAUGUCUUUGUAUUUUGCUAUAAGUAUUAGUGAUUGCUAUAAUAAAGUAGCCAUGUGUUUCAUCAGCAAAUACAUGGCAGUCAAGUGUGGUUGCUACUUUGGGUUAACGCAUGAUUUCUGUUGCAAUUUGCUUUUGAACAUUUAUUUUUACAUGCAUCUGAAUUAAAGAAUCUCAUUUCUGUUUAUGUGAAAAAAACCAGCUAAACAUUUACUAGUUUCACCCAUUUGAAAAACUAGGAAGGCUACUCUUCAAUAACAUGUAUAUAAAAAGGUGCAGACCAUUGAAGCAGUUUAAAGGUUUUACAUAGUUAAGGAAAAGAUUUAACUGCUUAGCAAAAAAAAAAAAAGGAAAAGAUUUAACUGAUUGGAAAUGGACGCAACCUUUGGGGUUAAUUGGAGAGAGAUGCAGCUUCUUGACCAGGCGACUCGGAAAGGAAGCUUUGCAAGACUAGAAACCAUUGAAGGAGGGAAAUACAAAGGAAAAACUAUAGAACAAUAUUAUCACAAUGCAAGAUCAGUGAAGACAAAAAGUAACCAAUUAGACAAGAUCAAGGUCUAUAGUAUGCUGCUCAAUACUACUCUGUCUCGUAGAAUUCAUUAGAUUACGAACACCAUAAAGUCUGAUAAUACUGUCUCGCAAGCUUCCUUGUGAAGGAAGAUCAAUAUCUACGGAUAUUGUCUAAUGACUAUACUGUGGAUUUUGGCAGAGAAUCAUAACAACCUCCGUAGCAUUAUCCCUCACCUCCUCUGAAUCAUCAUGUAACAAUUCAACAAGACGAUUAACAGUUCCUGUUUCAAUUAUUGCCCUCGAUCUGCCUUCUUAUAACUCAACUAAGAAAGAGCCCCAGCUGCUGUGCUCCUCAGGUCACUGUCCUCAGACCACAAAAGCUCAACCAGUUGGGGAAUUGCACCUGAGUUUCUAAUAAAAGGUACUGAAUGCUUGUAAUCUGAAAGUAGCCAGAAAACACAAGCAGCUUCAGCUUUUGCCUCAUUAUUUCCUUUUCCCUAAGGAUUCUCACUAAGUGGUCAGCUAUGGAAACCGCAUUUUCUUCAUUAAGAGCUAAUAGACAGAGUGCAUUCUCUGCAACAUCCCAACCAAGAGGAUCAGGUCCCUGAAGAAGCUCAGCUAACAAUGGAAUAGCCCCAGCUUGAGCAACAUGACCAAGGUAAUCAAUCUAAGUUGAAAUCACUCCAAGGGUAUUGCCUGCCACAAGUUUUAUGUCACUGUCUCCAACUCGAAGCAACUCCACAAGCAGAGGUAUAACACCCAACUCAACAAGCGUACAGUUCCUAGCAGCUAUUUAUAGAGUUUCAGUUUCUUCAUUUUUGCUUUCUCAACAUUUAGAAUAUUAUUAUUAUUUUAAGAUAUUUUAGGUAACUUUUUUAAAAUAAUAUUAUAUUCGAUAUUAGGAAGUUUCUCUUUGAAAAAGUUAGAUAUAAAAUUCAAAUUUACCAAAUCUAUCACCGUUUUGUAAACAAUGAAAUUUUAUCACUAAAUUUGAAAUAACGAAAAGAUUUAUAUUUUUACAAGUAACAAUCACUAAUUAAUGUAAUAAUUCUUAUAAAGUUUAUGUUCAAAUAGACUCUAAUAUUAUAUUUGAUAUUUGAAUGUUUCUUUUUGGAAAACUUGAAAAUAAAAUCUAAAUUUACUAAGUUUAUCACUCGUUUUAUAAGGUAUGAAAUUUUAUCAAUAACGGCAAGAUUAUCAUUAAUGGCAAGAUUUGUAAAGUUUUGUAAUGAAUGAAAUUUUAUGAAUAACGGCAACAUUUGUAAAGCGGAAUGUUCAUUUUCGAUUUCCGAUAUUAAAGGAUUGAAACUAAAUUAUAGUCAAAACUUAAAAAAUUGAAAAAAUAAACACAAACAUUUUUGAAAUUCCAGAAUAUAUUGAACAUGGAGCAAUAUUCAACCAAUGCUUUGGGCAAUUGGUCACACGCACCUCUUUCUAAACCAAAAAUCCUAAAUCAAGAGAAAAACUUGUGACACAAAAAUUUGCUGCCAAUGAUUUAACUGUCACAUACAAAAAUUUAACCCGUCCUGCACUUCAAUAUGAAAGCAGUCAUUGGUUGCAAUUGACAUUCAGUCAUAUAUAUUUAGAACCUGUAUGAUAAGACCACUCCAAAAUUUUACUUAUUAAUCAAAUCAGACAUAUUGUACUUGAGGCACAGUUCACAAAACAGUAAGGCCAGCAUUUAAGGCACAUCUUAUAUAUGUAGAAGACCAACAACAAUAUCACUUCCUUUAAACAGAUGAAACAUAUACUAAUAUCCAACAAUCUUGCCACCAUAGAAUAACUUCACCAACUAGAGAUCAUACCUUUGAUAAUUCUGCUGCAAAGUCCGCCCCAAGUAAAUUCCUAGCUAUUUCAGGCGAAAGCAUUCUACGAAACCAUAUAACGAAGCGGAAGCCAUCGUCAUAUAUAUAAAGGCCUCUUGAGUCUAGGCUUUCUGCAAUCAAUGGCAGUCUCUUCACAGUGGUUUUUAAAUCAUCAGCUUCAGCAGAUGGCUGCAAAGAUAAGACAGAAGUGAUGUUCAGUUUGCAAAAUCUACAUCUGUAUUCAAAUUAUUCAAAGGCACAAAAUCUUUUAAAAAUUUAUAUAUUUUUUAAAAAAUCAAUGAAAAUCACAUUAUUGAAAAAUAAUUAAGAGGCUAUUACUCUUUUAAAAAUUUAUAUAUUGAUAUGACCAAAAAUUUUUUUAAAAAAUAUGCAUGAUAAUUAAUUCUCAUAAAAAAAUAUAUACAGGGAAGGGCGGAGCUAGCCAACUUUUACUGGGGGGCUAAAGAUAAAGGUGAAUAAUGUAUAAAAUAGAAAUAAUUAAAUGCAAUAUGCAAGAUUAAUAAUUUUCUCUUAUAUAAUCAGUAUUGUUUAAAAACUAAAUACUCAAAGAUAGUUUUCUUUCAACUAAAUAUAAAACACAAAGCACAUAAAAAAUAUCUUAUAUAAUCAAGAUUAAUAAAUAAUAUAUAUAUAUAUAUAUAUUGGUGAAAUUUUAAGCAACAAUAAAUAAUGCAAUGUUACAACUCAUAUUUGAGAAUUACAUAAUAAUUAAUUUAUUUUUAAAGAUUAAAAUCACAGAAAAUAAAAAUCACAUAACAGAGAAAAGAAGAACAUGACAAGUAGAAAAUAGAACUACAUAAAACAAAAAAGAAAAAUNAUGAUUCAUGCUCUGGUUUUUAUGCAUAAGUUGGCAUUUCUACUUUCUUAAAAGCUUGCAAUUUUAUUAACCAGUACAGUUGUUUUGCUAGGUCUCUGGUUUUGAAGAAGUGUAGAAUGGCAAAUAGGAAUCCUAUAAGGGUGAGUAAAUGGGUGGAUUGAGUGGUUGAUUCAUCAUACAUAAAGAUCAAAUAGAUAAAGUAUUUUUAAAAAAAUCGAUCAAAAUCAAUCAAAUAUAAAAAAAGACUAAAUUGACUAAACAUAGAAUUAGUUUGGUUGGUCCGAUUUUGGACCAAUGGAUCAAAAUUUUACUACUUUUUUUUUUACAUAUUAUAAUAUUAAAACUUAUAAAUUUCAUCUAUAAUUAUAUAUAUAUAUAUAUACUAUAUAUUCUUUAUGCAUAUAUAUAAUUAAACUGAUUUAUGACAUCAGACAUUUUUUUCAUCACACCAAAUCAGGAGACUAUGCCCUGAAACAAAAGGUGGACAUAGCUCAACCAUUCACAAUUAAUUCAUUAUCAUGGUCGCCAAGGGUAACCUGAUUUUUAUUAGAAAACAUAGGGAACCAGGUGAGUUAAGUACCAUUAUUAGCUUGUGCCGUGUAUUUAAAGAUUUAGAACUUUGUGAUACCAUACAGUUAAUCUCUUUCCUCUAAGUGUUAUAUAUCUUUCCUUUUCCUUCAAGCAUGGAUUGAAUUUCUGAUGAAGCAGGGACAUCUAUUUUUAUUUUUUUUCAUAUGAAGAUCAUUACUUCAUUAUAGCAACCGAAUAAUAAGUAUCAGAAACCAAAAUGCAACAGGUACCAAUUCUCAUUUAUUUUCUCUUGAACAUAUUAAGUCGACGUAAGAGAGUAUGUUUUAAAUUUUCCCGAUGAAGAAAUUAGGCUCAGACACAACUUGGAGAUACUCCCGAUAGUAUUAAAAAAAUCAUCGACUCUACCAAAACUAAGAUGUGCUUGAGCAAAAUUAAUUUGGACUUGGUAAAACCAUAUGAUGUAAAGUGUGAAAAGGUCAAUUGACUCCAACUUAUGUGGUGUCACUGUUUUCUAUCCUCUUAAAUUCAAGGGAUCGUGAGUCUGGAGACAGAGCUCAAAGUAUUCCUCACACAGCCGUUAAAAGGAUCUUCUUGCAGAGAUCAUCGCCACUCUCCACCCUAACUUGUAUUCCUCACACGGCUUUGAGGCCAAGAUUAUUGGUCUUGGAUUGAUUGCUUUUAGUCUCCAAGCUCAAGGCAUCCUUUCCUGUUGAAAGAUCAUCUUGUAAAAUGUUUAAUGAAAGAGCUAAAGCACACUCACUGCUGUUCAUGUUUGCGUUUUUAUUCAUACUAAAUUUUAGCUUGUCUCAGAGUGACAAACUCGACUUACUCUUAUCCUUAAAAUCUUCAAUCAAUGAUCCGUCUGGCUUCCUCUCCAACUGGAAUUCCUCUACCCCAUUGUGCAUGUGGCAUGGAAUCACUUGCAACAAUUUUUCCACCAUAAAGGUAAUUGAUCUCGUUGAAAAAAAUAUUUUUGAGAUAAUUUCAUCUUCAAUCUUUCAUUUGGCAGAGAUUGGGACUAUCAAUCUUUCAAGAUUCCUCUGUCUAGUUGUUUUCAAGAUUCCUCUCCACUAUAGAAAAUCCUAGAGACAAAGAAUCUAAGAUCCUUAUAUCACUACUACGAUUUGAACAAAUAUUGGCCUUAGAUUUAUUUGAAUGUGGAUUAAUCACCCUAAGAUUGUAGUGGAGAUGAUCCUCUCACUCUAUAUAUAGUCUACAUAUGAUCAAAGUAUGACAUGCAAGAAUUAGUUUUGGAAAAAAGAAAUGACAAUUCAGUAAAAAGAUAGAGAAAGAUUUGUGACCUUUAGUCAAUUGUGGACCAUAUUUAGUAGUUUCAGUUGUUCUCAUUAAUUUCAAUUUUCAAGUAUUCUUUGUGCCGGUCCAUUGCUACCAUUCAAAAUUUUCAUUUUUUUCUCCUAAAUGUGCAUUGGGUCAAUGUGGAAGAUUGUUCCUCAGCUCCUGCAAAAAAUAUCUGGGGAGUUGUAUUUGCUCUAUAAUGCAAGCAGCAAGCACGUCCCAUGGACUCUGAAACCUCUCUCCAAUAUCACCGUCAGUCCAUCAUUCUACAAGGGAUAUAUGAUUGGAAGAAUGCCUGACGGACUUGGAACUGUAGGCUGGAUUACCAAAAAAAAGAAAUGGAGACUGCCUUCGUUGCUUUAAAAACACAUGGUAACUGCCAAAAAAGUCAGCAAAUCACAUGGAGAUGGAGAGGGAGAGACAGAGAGUAUUGCAUGUACUGAUUAAUCCAGGGAUUUAUUUAGAAAACAGCAUACAUAGUAAGGAAGUCAGAUUAUAUUAAAACUAUGGAAUGAUAACACAUCCAUGCUCCAGCUCACCAUUUUGUCUAGUUGUUUUUAAGAUUCCUCUCCGAACUAUAGAAAUUCCUAGAGACAAAGAUUCUGAGAUCCUUGUAUCAGUCCUACGAUUUAGCAAUUAGGAUCAAUAUCUAAAUGAAAAUUAAUUAAAAACAGAUAAUAAGUUGAACAAAUAUUGGCCUUAGAUUUAUGUGAAUGUGCAUUCAUAAUCCUAAGAUGAAGUAGCGGAGAGGAUCCUUUCCCUAUAUAUAUAGUCUAUAUAUGAUCAAAGAAUGAACUGAAAGAAUUAAUUUUGGAAAAAAUGAUAAUUCAAUAAAAAAGAUAAAGAAAGAUUUGUGACCUUUCGUCAAUUGUGGACCAUAUUUAUUAAUACUGGUGGUUGUCAACGUCAUUAAUUUCAAUUUUCAAAGUAUUUUUUGUGCCGGUCCAUUGCUACCAUUCAAAAUUUUCAUUUUUUACUCCUAAAUGAAUGCAUUGGGUCAAUGUGGAAGAAUGCGUCCUCGAAAUCUUUUGAAAAGGGAAUUACUCACAAAAUAAAAAUCUUAACAUACUAUUUUAAAAAACACGUAAACUAUUUAAGAAAAUUCUAAUAAAUUUUUAAUUUUUUAUUGUGGUCAUCAUGUCACAUCAACAUAUCAAGUCAUAGUUAAUAAAAAAAUAAUUCUUUAUUUUAAAUUUUUUGAAUAAUUUAAGAGAUUUUUUUAAAUAUUAUGCAAAAAAAUUUUUAUUCUACAAAAGCUAAGAUGUGCUUGAGCAAAAUUAUUAUUAUUAUUAUUAAAUGUGAAGAAACUCAAAAGUCUUCAAUAGUAGUCCCUGUCAAUGCCAUGAAUUUCUUAAAUGUGCACAGAACCUAUAAAUGCCGAAGAAAAAACAGAUUGAAUAAUAUUCCACUACAAAGCCUUUCAUUUUCUCAGCCGCCCCGAUGAGUUCACACCAACCAAUUUUGACCUCAGCCCCAAGCUCUUUGUUCUCGUAAAAAUCCAUGUUCUUAUAAGAGCUAAGAUGCAUAUCAGAUUCAUGCACACUAGAUCCUCUUCAUUCCAAAGUUAUUUCGUUUAGUCUUUUUAGCAGUUGUAUCCUGAGCAUUGAGGCCAAGAUUUUUUAGUCUCCAAGCUCAAGGCAUCCUUUCCCUGUUAAAAGAUCUUCUUGUAAAAUGUCAAAUAAAAGAGCUAAAGCACACUCAUUGUUGUUCAUGUUCAUGUUUUUAUUGGUACUAAAUUUUAGCUUGUCUCAGGUUGAUGAUCUGGAGCUCCUCUUAUCCUUCAAAUCCUCAAUCAAUGAUCCGUCUGGCUUCCUCUCCAACUGGAAUUCCUCUACCCCAUUGUGCAUGUGGCAUGGAAUCACCUGCAAUAAUUUUUCUAGGGUAAAGGUAAUUGAUCUCGUUGAGAAAAAUAUUUCUGGGAUAAUUUCAUCUUCAAUCUUUCAUUUGGUAGGGAUUGAGACUAUCAAUCUUUCGGACAACCAACUCUUAGGUGAAAUUCCCAAAGAUUUGGCUUCUUCUGUGUCACUUCGAUAUCUUAAUCUUAGUAACAACCAUUUGACCGGUGAAGUUCCAAAAUGUUCAACUUCAUUGGAAAUAUUGGAUCUCUGGGGUAACCUGCUUUCUGGAAAAAUUCCACCACAAAUUGGAGCAUGCUUGAAUCUACAAGAACUUGAUCUUGGUGGCAAUAAUUUGGUGGGGAGAAUUCCGAGCUCCAUAUCAAAUAUCAGCAGGUUGCAAAUCUUGACUCUUGCUUAUAACAAAUUGAUUGGCCAAAUUCCACAUGCAUUAAGCGAAAAGAAGAGCUUGAAGUGGAUUUCCUUUGGCAAUAACAACCUUUCUGGCGAAAUUCCACAAGAACUUGUUGAUUUGGUUUCUUUGAGUUUUCUUGAUCUUGCUUACAACAAUCUUAGCGGAGAUCUUCCAUCCUGGCUUGGAAACCUCACCAAUCUUCAAUACCUCUUGCUCUUCGGUAACAACCUUACAGGUUUGCUGCCUAGAUCCAUUUUUGGACUCCAAAAGCUUAUUGAACUUGAUCUUAGUGAUAAUUAUUUAUUUGGUGAGAUUCCAGAACUCAUAAUUGAGUUGCAGAGCUUGGAGAUUCUUUAUCUUAUCUACAACGACUUUACCGGUAAAAUUCCAAAUGCUCUAGCAUCUUUGCCCCGCCUUCAAGUGAUUGAACUUGCAUCAAACAGCUUGACUGGAGAAAUUCCUUCUUUAAUCUGCAAUAUAAGUUCCAUCGUAGGUCUUGUCUUAUCUAAUAACAACUUAAGUGGAAUAAUUCCACCAUGUCUAGGAAACAUCAGCAAACGUCUUAAAGUCUUAAAUUUGUGGAAGAAUAGUUUUCAUGGACCCAUCCUUGACACAUUCGGUGAGGACUGUGCGUUAAGGAACCUCAACUUCCAUGGCAAUAAAUUGGAAGGGUCCUUACCACGAUCCUUGGCCAAUUGUAGAAACCUGGAAAUGGUGGAUAUUGGUAACAACAAGCUAAAUGGCACAUUCCCCUAUUGGCUGGAUACUCUGCCAGAUUUGCAAGUUAUUGUUUUACGGUCAAACAAAUUGCGUGGUGUCUUACAGAUUUCCAAGACCUUCCGUCCCUUUCCCAAGUUACGGAUACUUGACCUUGCUAACAAUGAAUUCACCGGUCCUUUGCCCGAAAGCAUAAUAAAAAACAUGAAGGCCAUGAUUAAUCUCAAAGAACAACAAAGUUCUUCUCAAUAUAUGGGUGGAAUAUAUUAUCCUUAUUUUUUCAAUUUGACGGUGAAAGGAAUUUACAUUGAACUUUAUGAAUUCCUGACAAUAUUUGCAACCAUUGACCUCUCAAACAAUAACUUUCAUGGAGAGAUUCCAAGUGUUUUUGGAAAGCUGAGUUCACUUAGAGGGCUCAAUCUUUCUCAUAACAGCCUUACUGGUCAUAUCCCUACAUCAAUGGGAAAUUUGACCAAUCUCGAAUGGUUAGACUUCUCUUCAAACAUGCUCACUGGGCAAAUUCCUACUGAGUUGAUAGAUAUGACAUUUCUUACCUUCUUAAAUCUUUCAAAUAACCAACUCAUAGGACCAAUUCCUCAAGGCAAACAGUUCAAUACAUUUGAAAAUGGCUCAUAUGAAGGAAACUUGGCACUAUGCGGCUUUCCAUUGUCAAAAGCUUGCAACAAUGAUGGGAGAAAACAAUUUCCAUCAUUGUUAAAAGAGGCAGAUGACUCAGAAACCAAGAUCAGUUUCGGCUGGAAAGUUGUGCUAAUAGGCUAUGGAUGCGGACUGAUAUUUGGAGUUGUUGUUGGAUAUGUUACAUUCAGAAAUGGUGAACCAAAAUGGUUUGUGACAUUGUAUCGAGUCAAAUAUCCCCAAAAGGGAAGAAGAUGCUCAAAGAACUAGUCAUUGCAGAUGACUCUGGAUGUUAUUGCAACAUGUGUUUUUUUGUGCUUAGUUCCAGUCGUUUUCCUGGACAUAUCUUUGUAUUUUGCUAUGAGUAAUUACCAUCAUAAAAUAGCCAUGUGUUUCAUCAGCAAAUGCAUGACAAUAAAGUUUAGUUGUUGCUUUUGCUUAACGCAUGACUUCUGUUUCAGUUUGUUUUUGAUCAAUCUGUAUAAAAGAAUCUCAUUCUGUUCUGUGGAAAAAUCAGCUACCAUUGCCUCGUGUGUUAAAAAAACUUAAGAUUAUCAAAGUAUUUUUUUUUUUUUGGAGUGAAGAUUAUCAAAGUAUUAAAUGUUAGAACUAUAGAAAUUCCUAGAGACAAAGAAUCUGAGAUCCUUAUAUCAGUAUUAUGAUUAGACCUGACAAUUCGUAUUUUCGUGUCUUAAACGUGUCAGACACGUUUAGACACGAAACACGUUAAGAUUAAACACGAACACGACACGCUUAAUAUUCGUGUUUUAAAUUUAAAACACGUACACGUAUACGUUUAAUACACGUAUAACAUGACACGACACGAUUAACACAUUUUACACGUUUAUUAAAUGUGUCAAUAUACGACACGACACGAUUAAUAACACGUUUAACACGAUUAACAUGUUUAACAUGAUUAAAUAAAAAUAUUUACAAUUAAAUAUAAUUUUAUUAUUUAAAUUUAAAAUUUAUAAUUAUAAAAAUAAUUAUAACAAAAAUAAUAAUAACAUCAAAUAUAAUAAAAUUUAAUAUAAAUAACAUACAUAAAAUUCAUUAUCAUAUAUAUGGUUAAAAUACACAUCAAAUAAUUAUUUAAAAUUAUUUAUAUAAGGUUAAAAUAGUCUUUAACUAUUAAUGUUUAAUAGGUUAAUAAACGUGUCAAGUAUACACGUUUAAACACGAUAAUACAUUUAAAUACGAUAACACGAUUAAGUAAACGUAUUUAAACGUGUUUGUCGUGUCUGACACGUUAAGACACGAAAAUUUUCGUAUCUUAACGUGUUAGACACGAAACACGUUAAGGGUAAACCUAAAACCUGUUUAAUCCGUAUCUUCUCAUGUCGUGUCCAAAAUUGCCAAGUCUAAUUAUGAUUUAGCAGUUAAGACAAGAUCAGUAUUUAAAUGAAAAUUAAUUAACAGAGAUAAUACUUUGAACAAAUAUUGGCCUUAGAUUUAAUUGAAUGUGAAUUAAUCAUUGUAAGAUGAGGUAGUGGAGAGGAUCCUUUCCCUACAUAUAUAGUCUAUAUAUAAUCAAAGUAUUAAAUGCAUGAAUUAAUUUUGGAAAAAAAAAUUGAUAAUCAAACAAAAAGAUAGAGAACGAUGUGUGACCAUUAAUUAAUUGUGAUCCAUAUUUAUUAAUUUGGGUGGUUAAUUUCAUUUUCAAGUACUCUUUAUACCGGUACAUUUUUAUGAUUCAAAAUUUCAUUUAUUCUCAAUGCAUUGAGUCGACGUGAAAGAGUAAGCCCUUAAAAUUUACUAAAAAAGAAAUUAAGCUCCGACAAAACUUAUUACAAAAAGGAAUUAAUCUAUUCUAGGAAAGCUAAGAUGUGUUUUAAGCAAUAAUUAAUUUGGACUUGGUAAAACCAAUGUGAAGAAACUCCAAAAGUCUUCAAAGGUAGGCCCUGUCAAAGCCAAGAAUUUCUUACAUGUCAGACAACAAGCUAUAAAUGUGCAGAAAAAAACAGAUUGUGUAAAAUUCCACUAGGAUGCUUCCUUUCGUCAGCUAGCCCAACGAGGUCACACCAAGCAAUUUCGACCUUAGCUAAAUCUAGCCCACUAUUAUUUUUCAUGUUCACCUUGUUUUUCUUACUACAAUUUAGCCUGUCUCAGAGGGACGAAGUUGAGCUGUGCUCUUAUCUUCAAAUCCUCAAUCAAUGAUCCGUUCGGCUUCUUCUUUGAAUGGAAUUCGUCUGACCCUUUCUGCCUUAGGCAGGGAAUCACUUGCAAUAGUUUUUCUUACUUUAAAUACUUUGCCAUUGAAUUCACUGGGGAAAAANNNNNNNNNNNNNNNNNNNNNNNNNNNNNNNNNNNNNNNNNNNNNNNNNNNNNNNNNNNNNNNNNNNNNNNNNNNNNNNNNNNNNNNNNNNNNNNNNNNNUUUUAUAAUUAAGCAUCCUUAAAGUCAAGUAUAGGGACCAAAAGAACAAACGUCCAUAAUAUAGUGUAAUUUCCUAAGUCAAGUUACUGGGACCUAAGCUUUACGUGCAAAGAAUCAUCUACCUUUUGAAAUUUCUGCCAAAUGCUGUGAUAUAAACACAUUAGAAUGUAGAAUAUGAACAGAAAAAGGACUUGAGGCAAUUUAGAAUUAAUAAAAACACAAAAGCAAGUCAGUAAAUCAGGUUCUUUGCGUGAUUCUCAGGUUUAUGAAUACUUAAAUCAUCCAUUAUCCUUAAACACAUUUCUUAUAUCUUCUAUUUCGGUGGAGAUGACUGGGAUGUUAUUUACAGUGGGAAAAAAGAAAAGAUUAUAGCCCCUGAUUAAGGGUUCAAGUCAUUAAGAAGACCAAGAAGACUUAACGUAUUGAAUCAGGGUCAAUAAAGCUAUCCAAAACCAACCUGCAAUGGAGGAAAAGAUUAUGUAAAGCCCGUGAUUAAGGGUUCAAGUAAGAAGACCAAGAAGACUUCACGUAUUGAAAAUCUGCAAUGGAGGAAAAUAGGCAUGUAGGUCCAAACUUAAUGACCCCACUUAUGUGCAAAUCUGCAGUAUCGAAAUCUGUUGCAAUUCGUUACUUUUAACUAUACAUUUAUGCAUCCUUCAUGAGGUGUUGGAAAUUGAUUUAACCAAAUGUAUAUAAUAUUAAACUUAAAAUUGAAUUUUGUUUUAUUUAAGUUAUAAAGGGAAGCAAUUAUGUUCUGUUUACUAUUUGCUUUUUUAUUCUUUAUCUUUUAUUUUUUAUUUUUAAUGUUCUCUUAUUUUUUGCAAAGAAAAAGCAAAUAACUCAUUUUUCACGCAUUAUCAUGAGUUUCUUGACCUAAUCUUUUUCCUAUAAAAUGUUAAAGAGUCUCCACCAUCUCCAUACACUCCAAAAUCUGCCUCUACCCACCCUAAUUUCAUCGCCUCAAUUGUUCAAAAACCUCUUGGGAUUAAUUAUUUGUUAGUCUCCAAGCUCAAGACUUCCUCAAUUUCCCUGUUAAAAGAUCCUGGAAAAUGUUAAACAAAAGAGCUAAAGUACACUCACUGUUGUCCAUGUUUAUGGUUUUAUUAGUACUAAAUUUUAGCUUGUCUCAAGUUGAUGAACUCAAGCUGCUCUUAUCCUUCAAAUCUUCAAUCAAUGAUCCAUCUGGCUUCCUCUCCAACUGGAAUUCCUCUACCCCGUUGUGCCUGUGGCAUGGAAUCACUUGCAACAAAUUUUCCAAGGUAAAGAUAAUUCAACUCACUAACAAAAAUAUUUCUGGGGCAAUUUUAUCUUCAAUCUUUCAUUUGCCUAAGAUUGAGAGUAUCGAUCUUUCGACCAACAAUCUCUUUGGUGAAAUUCCGUAUGACAUGGCUUUUUCUAUGUCACUUCAAUAUCUUAAUCUUAGUCAAAACUAUUUAACUGAUACAGUUCCAAACUGUUCAACUUCAUUGGAAAUAUUGGAUCUUUCAGCUAAUAGCCUUUCAGGGAAAAUUCCACCACAAAUUGGAGUAGAAUGUUCAAAUUUAAAAGAACUUGAUCUUGGUGGCAAUUAUUUGGUAGGGAGAAUUCCAAGCUCCAUAUCAAAUAUCAGCAGUUUGCAAGCCUUGACUCUUGCUGGUAACAAAUUGAUUGGCCAAAUUCCUCGUGAAUUAAGCAAACUGAAGAGCAUGAAGUGGAUUUACUUUGGCUAUAACCACCUUUCUGGCGAAAUUCCGCAAGAACUUGUUGAUUUAGUUUCUUUGAAUCAUCUUGAUCUUGUCUACAACAAUCUCAAUGGACAAAUUCCAUCCUCGCUAGGAAACCUCACCAAUCUUCAAUACCUCUUCCUCUACAGAAACAAGCUCACAGGUUUGCUUCCUCGAUCCAUUUUUGGCCUCAAAAAGCUUGUCGAACUUGAUCUUAGUGAAAAUUAUUUACUUGGUGAGAUCCCAGAACUCAUAAUUGAGUUGCGAAGCUUGCAGGUUCUUCAUCUUUACUCCAACAACUUUAUUGGUAAAAUUCCAAAUGCUUUAGCAUAUUUGCCUUAUAUUCAAGUUGUUAGUUUUUACUCAAAUAGCUUGACUGAAGAAAUUCCUUCUUCGAUCUGCAAUACAAGUUCCAUUGAAGUGCUAGACCUAUUUGAUAACAACUUAAGUGGGAUCAUUCCACCAUGUCUAGGAAACUUCAGCAAAGGUCUUUCAAUCUUAGAUUUGGAGAUGAAUAGCUUUCAUGGAACCAUCCCUGAAACUUUUGGUGAGGACUGUGGGUUGAGGAAUCUCAACUUAAAUGGAAAUAAAUUGGAAGGAUCUUUACCACGAUCUUUGGCCAACUGUAAAAACCUAGAAAUGAUGGAUAUUGGUGACAACAAGUUAAAUGGUGCAUUCCCUUAUUGGCUGGAUACUCUGUCAAAAUUACAAGUUCUUGUUUUACGGUCAAACAAAUUGCGUGGUAUCUUACAAAGUUCCAAAACCAUCCAUCCCUUUCCCAAGUUACGGAUUCUUGACCUUGCUAAUAAUGAAUUCACUGGUCCUAUGCCCAAAGGCAUAAUAAAGAACAUGAAGGCCAUGAUGAAUCUAGGUGAACAGCAUAGUUCUUUGCAAUAUAUGCAAGGAAGAUACUAUAGUUAUCAUGUAAAUUUGACAGUGAAAGGGUUUUACAUUAAACUUCAUAUCUUGACAACAUUCACAAGCAUUGACCUCUCAAACAAUAACUUUCAUGGAGAGAUUCCAAAUGUUAUUGGAAAGCUUAGUUUACUUAGAGGACUCAACCUUUCUCAUAACAGUCUUAGUGGUCAUAUCCCAAUGUCAAUGGGAAAUUUGGCCAAUCUCGAAUGGUUAGACCUCUCUUCAAACCAGCUCACCGGUCAAAUUCCUGAUCAAUUGAAAGAUAUGACAUUUCUUGCUUUCUUAAAUCUUUCGUAUAACCAACUCACAGGACCAAUUCCUCAAGGCAAACAGUUCAAUACAUUUGAAAAUGGCUCAUACGAAGGAAACUUGGCACUAUGCGGUUUGCCAUUGUCAAAGUCUUGCAAAAACGAUGGGAGAAAACAAUCAUCUCCAUCAUUCUUGAAAGAGGCAAAUGACUCAGAGACUGAGAUCAAUUUUGGCUGGAAAGUUGUGUUGAUGGGAUACGGAUGUGGAAUAAUAUUCGGUGUCGUUAUCGGAUAUGUUACUUUUAGAAAUGGUGAACCAAAAUGGUUUGUGACAUUGUAUGGAGUCAAAUAUCAUCGAAAGGGAAGAAGAUGCUCACGGAACUAGUCAAUACAGAUGACUUUCAAAGUUAUUGCAACAUGUGUUCUCUGUACUCUAUUUUAGUUGUUUUCAUGGACAUGUCUUUGUAUUUUGCUAUUAGUACUAGUUAUUACUGUAAUUAAAUAGCCAUGUGCUUCCUCAGCAAAUACAUGGCAGUGAAGUGUGGUUGCUGGUUUUGCUUACUGCAUGACUUCUCUUGCAAUUUGCUCUUGAUCAUUUAUUCUUACAUGCAUCUGUACAAAAGAAUCCCAUUUCUGUAUAUGUGGAAAAUACAGCUACCAUUGCCUCAAUGUUAAAACAGAUACUAAAUUCACCAAUUGGAAAAAAUCGAAUGACUACUCUUCAAAAACAAUAUUUAUAUAAAAAAAGUGCAAACCAUUGAAGCAGUUUAAGGGUUUUACUAGUUUCAAAAAUGAUUUGACUGAUUGGAAAUGGACACAACCUUUGGGGUUAAUUGGAGAGGGAUAUCGCUUCUCGAUCACGUGACUCGAGAAGGAAGCUUUGCAAGACUAGAAAACAAGGAAGAAGAAGGGAAAUACAAAUGAAAAACUAUAAAACAAUAUUGUCACAAUGCAAGAUCAAUGUAACCAAAAAGUAACCAAUUAGACAAGAUCAGGGUCUAUGGUAUGCUGCUCAAUACUACUCUGUCCCAUAGAAUUCAUCAAAUUACGAAGACCAUAAAGUCUGAUAAUACUGUCUCGAAAGCUUAUGAAUACUUAUAUUAUCCACUAUCCUUUUCCAUUAAAUAAGACUCCAUUUGCUUUCGAAAUAUGCCAAUCUCCUACUUUUCAUCUUCAUCUCUCUUUGUACAUUUCUUAAAUCUUCUAAUUUUUUAUGAGAUGACAGAGAUAUGAGAUUAAUGUGGGAAAAAAGAAGAGAAAUUAUAGCUGGUGAUUAAGAAGACCAAAAAGACUUAAGGUAUUGAAUCAGGGUCAAAAAGGUUAUGUAAAAUUUCUGAUGAAGCUAAGCUAAAGAACAAAGGAGCUAAAAUUAAAUUGAGAAUAAGGAAGAGAUUUUUAUAAAACCAAAAAAUUGGAGAAGGAACAUAUAACUAUUUUAAUCUCAAGAAUAUAUAUGAGUAGCAACAGACCAAGCCAAGGAAAUCGGGGAAUAAAAUGAAAAGAGUAAAACCCCCUAAGCACAGAAAUACUAUAACAAUCCCUCCUCGGUCGCUACCGACGUCCGAGACCUCCGAGAGAUCCCGUCAAGUCCCGAACAAGCCUAAAAGAAAUUUCUCAAUAACUCAUUGUACACUUUUACUAAACCGUAUUAAUGUUUGAACCAUAUAUAUUUAUAACAUGAGUUCAACAACAAGCAUAGUCAUUAAAUUUUGACUUUAAGUCAUGACAUCACAAUUAAAUACAUUGAGUUCAAAAAUCUCAAAUUUUCAUUUAUAUCAAAACUAAUAUUUGUUUACAUAGUAAAACCAGAGUACUACAACUCAACCUCUAACAGCAGAGUGACUCGGGAUAAAAUGCUAUGAGAUGUCUUUACCUAUUUUGCAGUGGACCGAACGUGCUGAUGAUUACACACUAAGCCAAUCCUUAUCUGCAAAAAGGGAAAAAGAGGGGUGUGAGUCUCACAAACUCAGUGAUCAUCGACUCCGUAAGUAGGGCGUAGAUGGAAAACAAGCAAACAGUAGAUCAGUUUAUAUUAAAAAUGCAGGAUUAUAAAAAUAAUUUAUUUCAAACAGACAUUUAUGCCUUAUAUGAAAAACAGAGAAUUUCUUAUGCAUUGUAAUCAUUUCAAGUGGUAAAUCAACCAAGUAGAUAAAAGUUUCCCCUCAGAAACAAAUCAAUAACCUUUUUCAAAACAAUCAUUUGAAAUAUUGUUGUAAAACAAUUGUACAUAAAAGGAUUUUCGCCGUCGAAAUCAAUUGACAUUUUACUCAAAUCAAUUUAAUAAAUUCAAGUAAACUCCCAUGAAAUCGAAUGUUAUUUAAACUUAUACAUAAAUCACAAAUCGCCUCGUACGCGAGGAGUUAAAAUUCAUUUCUCCGCAAAAAUAGAGGAGCUGCGAAAAAAUCGUUUAAUUCCGUUUUCACCAUGCAAAGAAAUAUGAGUUUGAAAACCCAGAGAUGCCACUCUCGAGUAGGGAAUGAAAAUAAACUCGUGGUCUCGCUACCACGUAAUAACAUCCGGGAGCAUUGCUUCCACCGGAUUCCCAUAUGCCAUGGCUAUCUCAACAAUGUUGGCCGACAUCGGAGAUAUCAGGCGGUUGCAAUUGCGUAAAUCACUGGUGGCCUAGCCAUGCAUACAUAUAUCACAGGUUGUGGCCCUCGCCACGCCUAACUGCCCGUCGGCGAUCCGAAAGUUCUUUAACUAGAGCUCACUCAUGCAUGAGGGUCACACUUAACCGAAGUGACAGCCAGCCUACUCUCAAAUCUCUUGGUUUAGUAAAACCGUUUAAAAAUCUAAAUCGGGUUUUCAUAGAAUCUUUUCAAAUCAUUUUUUAAAUACCGAUCGCCUUAUCAAGAUAAAACUCUCUUUUCAUAAAACUGUAUACAAUAAACUUUUGCAUGCGAUUCUCAUUUCAAAAUGGCAUGGUGAAUAUGUAAUUAAACUCCAUGAAUGCACACCACACAAAUGUAAGGCACAUUUUUCUUUGAUGUAAAUCAUCUUGAAAGGCUUGUUUCCCAGGGUAAAAUACUUUACGUACAAGUAUACAUAUAUAUAUUCAAAACACGUUUAAAAAACUAUAGCAAUCACAAAAUUUCUUAGAAUUCUACCAACUCAUACUGUCCACAAUUUUGCAUGUAAAAUAAAUCAUACAUAAAUACAUAUAUAUAGUUACGAAAAUUUUUAAAAUUGACACCCCCUACUUACCUCGACAUAGCGAGAUACUACAUUGCUAUUUCUACUUGUUAAUGGCUCGUUAUUUCGUUUGACACUCCGACACAGCUCACUUCCUUUACCUUUGUAUUUUCUUUUCUUCCUUGUUUUUCUCUUCUUUUUCUUGCUCUUUUGGGCCUACCCUUCCUUGUUUCCACUGGGCCUCCUUCCUUGUUGCUAUUAGGCCUUUCUCAUGGGCUCUUUCCACUUUUCCUUAUUAGGCUAUGCCCACUCUUUUCUUUUCUUUUUUCAUUUCAUUCAUUCAUUCAUCAUUUUAUUUUAUUUCUUUUUUUUUCUUCUCUCUCUUUUUUUUUUCACCUGGUCGGCCUUUCCCUCCUCCUCACUUGCACCGCCCGAUUGGCCUUCUCUCUCUCAAAAUCAGCUUCACAACCUCUCCUACCUCCCUCAAAAACUGGCAGCACAAAGCCCCCUUUGUCCUUCACAAUCCGGCAGCAAAUAGCCUCUAUUUUUCCUGCACAAACUGGUAGCAACACAGCCUCUCUUUCUCACCCUCCUACUGCCAUUUUUCAACUUUCUCACCAGCACUCUUUCCCCCUUUUCUUUGCCUCAUAAACUGCACUCUCCAGUUGCCAUUUUCUGCUCUCUCACCAGCACUCUUUCUCUCCUUUUCUUGGUCCUUCUUCAGCCGACCUUAUCCCAUUUUUUGCUCUUAAAAUGUCAAUCCUUCUUGGGAGGAGAAAGACAAUAAUUUUAUUUGAUAUUAAUUUCACAUGUGGGGGACAAGUUGGACAAGUCAAUGUAUUUGUCAACUAUUUCUUUUUUUUUUUCCUUGAUGGCUUUACAUUCAACUGGCCCCUACCAUCAUUUCUUUCUUUUCUUUUUGUCCACUUUGGCCGGCUUAAUCCUUUAUCCGUCCAUUUUUUUUUUAUUUGUUGACUUUUCUUGCACUUUUCUUCAAGUAUUGAUCACACGGACAUUUAUCCUCAUUUUGCUGUUCAUUUCUUCUUCUUUGUCUUCCUUAUUUAUUUAUUCUGUUAUUCUUUUACCCUUUACACCAUUUUUACUUUAUAUUUUAUUUAUUAUUUAAUGGUCCCAUCCAAACCACAUUCAAUCUAUUUUAUUCUUUCAACAUUUUAUCACCAUUACCUCAAUCAAAGUUCAUACAACUAGUUUUAAUUUUUAUUCUUUAUUCACCAUAACUUUCAUCCUUAUAAUUUGAUCUUUUCAAUAUUUAUUAAAUUUCAAUUUCCUUCUAUCUUUUUUCCUUCACAUGUAUCCAAUAAAAAUGUCGAAAUUGUACUUCAACGCGAUAUUACCAUAAUAUUUAAAUAUUUACUUAUCGCGCUAGCUCAAUUUAAUAAAAAUCAUGCAAUACAAUUAUUAUCAUUUUUCUCCAAAAUUCUUCUUUUCUUCUUCUCUCCUACUUAAAUUAAUCAUAUUCCUUUCUUUCGAAUUAAUUUUCGUGAUUAAUAAAAUAUUUAAUAUUUUAAUAUUAUUUUAUUUAUAAAAUAAUAUUUUAUUCUAAGAUAUUUUCUUCACUCGUAACCACUCUUCGACACUUAAAUUUACAUCAGUGACCCUUCGUCUUAUUGAUAUGGUUAUCUUGACUACUAUACGAAAAUACGAGGUGUUACAAAUACAAACUUGAAUUUCUGUGCAUUACAACGGACUUCAACAGCUAAGAGGAAAGUCAAAAAUAGGCAAAACAAACGUGGCUUUUCAGCCUUACAAGCAGCCAAAUAAAACGACACCAGCAAAAACGUUUUAAGCAAACAAAUAACUAAGAAUCAAACUGACAAUAAUUAAUGAGUUUCACUAAACACUAACUCAACAGCUAAAGCGAUACCGUUUUCCAUCUUUUUCCUUCCUUCAACAAGUAGUUGAUUUAGUGCACAAUUUCAUCUUCUUCUGCAGCACCAUCUGGAAUCACUGGAUUCUCAACAAGCUAUCUAAAAGUAAGCCUGCAACGGAGAAAAAUGGUGAUGUAGGUCCAAAUUCAAUCACCCCAUUAAUUUAUGUGCUUUAUCACAAAGCAAACCUGCAGUAUGAAAAUCCGUUGCAGUUCAUUACUUUAAUUAUAUAUGUGCGUCAUUAGGUGUUGAAAAUUAACGGGGAUCUUCUACAAGUUAAUAUCAUGGGUUUCUCAAUGUUGUGUUGAUGGGCUAUGGAUGCGGACUGAUAUUUGGAGUCAUAGUCAGAUAUGUUACAUUCAGAAAUGGUGAACCAAAAUGGUUUGUGACAUUGUUUCAAGUCAAAAAUCAUGGAAAGGGAAGACAAUGCUCAGGAAACUAGUCAAUGCAUGACUUUGGAAGUUAUUACAACAUGUGUUUCUCUGCACUCAAUUCAAGUUGUUUUCAUGGACAUGUCUUUCUAUUUUGCUAUAUGUAUUAGUAAUUGCUAUAUAAAGUAGCCAUGUGUUUCAUCAGCAAAUAGAUGGCUAUCAUAAAUUGCUUUAGAAUGUAUUGAUUAAUCCAGGAAUUUAUCUUGAAAAUAUCUGUUGAGAUAAAAACUAGCUUGAAUGUCAUUUUGUCUAACUAUGUACAGGACAAGUGUCCACUUUGCUUUGUUGUACUGGUUUAAUAAGUUAGAUUGUCUGCUGCUGCAACAUGUCCUUAGAACGUGUAAGCAUUACAUGCUUACCUUAAUGCUGUGUUAAACACUUGGAUAUUUUGUACAAGUGUUAGUCAAACAACUCAUGUAUACAUUGGUACAUCUUUCUUCAGUUAAUGACAAUCGAUAUUAACCAAGUUCUGUUUUUCAUUGCUUUUCACUUUCUUCUUUGAAUGCCUGAUGCCUCUGUUUUGUAUUAACAAGAACAUAUCAUGGCUUGCCUUUGGCCGAGCCGUCGACAUAAAUUUGAAUUUACGAGUGGGAGGUGGAGACCAUGAAGUUGUCUCAUAACAACUUAAAUGGGACAAUUCCAUAAUGUUUGGGAAACUUCAGCAAACGUCUUUCAGUCUUGGAAUUGCGAAUGAAUAGGUUUCAUGGAUCCAUUCCUGAGACAUUUGACAAGUACUGUGGCUUGAAGAAUCUUAACAUCAACGGUAAUAAAUUGGAAGGGUCAUUACCACCAUCUCUGGCCAAUUGUAGAAACAUCGAAGUGUUGGAUCUUGGUAACAACAAGAUCAAGGAUACAUUCCCUCACUGGUUGGAAACACUACCAGAAUUGCAAGUUCUUGUUUUAAGAUCAAACAAAUUGCACAGUUUCUUACCAAGUCCCGAGAUCAGCCAUGCUUUUCUCAAGUUACCAAUUUUGGACCUCGCUAACAAUGAUUUCACCGGCCCUUUUCCCAAAGGGUACAUUGAUGUGGAAUCGCAAUGAACAACAAACUUCUUCAUAUAUGCAAGCAGGAAAUUUGUCUUAUCAUUACUCUGUGAGUUUAACUGACAAAGGAUUUGAGAUUGAAUUUGAGAAAAUUUUGACAACAUUCACAAGCAUUGACCUCUCAAACAAUAACUUUCAUGGAGAGAUUCCAAAUGUUAUUGGAAAGCUUAGUUCACUUAGAGGGCUCAACCUUUCUCAUAACAGCCUUAGUGGUCAUAUCCCUGCAUCUAUGGGAAAUUUAACGAGUCUUGAAUGGUUAGACUUCUCUUCACACAAGCUCAAUGGACAGAUUCCUCAGAAACUGAUAGAUCUGACAUUAAUUUCUUGCCUUCUUGAAUCUUUCACGUAACCAACUCGUAGGACCCAUUCCUAAUGGCAAACAGUUCAGUACAUUUGAAAAUGCUACGGAGGAAACUUGGGACUAUGUGGGUUUCCAUUAUCAAAAGGUUGCAGCAAAGAUAAGAGACAACAACCACCUUCAGCAAUCUUGGAAGAGGCAGAUGAGUUGGAGACUGAAAGCAGUUUUAGUUGGAAAGGUGUGUUGAUAGUAUACGGAUAUGGACUGAUAUUUGGAGUUGUCAUUGGAUAUGUUGCACUCAAAACAGGUAAAGCAAAACGGUUUAUGGCAUUGGUUCAAGGAAAAUAUGAUUGAAAGGCAAGAAGAUGGUCAUGGAAUUAGGCAAUGCAGAUGACUUUGGCAAGGCGUUGGUAGCAUUUGAUUCUGUGUGUUUACUUCCAGAUGUUUUCAGUCCACGGUCAAGUAUUCAUGGUCAUGGUUUUAUCAGUACCGUAAGUUUUGGUAAUAUGCAGUUAUAAAAUAUCCAUGUAUUUCAUCAGCAGAUCAUAUAAUUAAAUGAUCAGGUUAGAAAUCCUCUACCCAGAGAGAUGCUAGGAUUUUGUGUGGAUAGGAUUCUGAUUGUGAAGAAGAGAGUCACUUUGCCAGAUAGCCAAAAGGAAAAUCAGACAGAGAAUUUGCAGGAAAACUUAUUGCAGAGUGAACUCACCAGCAUAAAGCUUCCAAUGUGUGAAGAUAUUGAAAUCUAUGGUCUUCCAUCUUGGGAUAAAAAUAAAUAAAUCUAUCAUCAACUUCUUGGGUCCUAAGCUGUAGGUGCAAAGAAGCAUCCACCUUUUGAAAUUUCUGGCAAAUGCUAGCUGUGAUAUAAAAACAUUAGAAUAAAUAAAACACAAAAAGCAAGUCUUUGCGUGCUUCUCAUGCUUAUGAAUACUUAAAUCAUCCAUCAUCCUUUUCCAUUAAAUAAGACUCCAUGUGCUUUCGGAAAGUGCCAAGUCUCCUGCUUUUACCUUCAUCUCUCCUUGUACAUUUCUUAUAUCUUCUAUUUGAGACAGGGUUGGAGAAGACUGGGAGAAAAAGGAAAAGAUUACAGCCCGUGAUUAAGGGUUCAGGUAAGAAGACCGAGAAGACUUACCGUAUUGAAUCAGGGUCAAUAAAUACAGCUAUCUAAAAUCAACGUGCAAUGGAGAAAAAUAGGCAUGUAGGUCCAAACUCAGUUACCCCACUUAUGGCCAUUCAAAAAUUUUAUUUAUUAUAUUUUUUUUUAGAAUUUUAUAUAUUUAAUAAUAUUAUGAACCCACUAAUUUUUUUAUAAUUUUUUAGGGAGUGGGGUCAAAAGCUAGAUUUUAUUAAAAAAUUUAUAUAUUAAUAAUCUUCUAAAAAAAGAGUUAUGAGUUGGAUAAUCAAAAUAAGCUUCAGCUUUGACAAUCACUGAGUUGUAUAACCAUGCACUUAGAAAUUACAGAUAAAUCUAUGACUGAUAUUUUUAAUGAUUUUAAAAAUUGAGUAGGAAGAUAAAUGAAGCUUCAUUGAAAAAUUAAUAACUUGAACAAUUAUUUGAAUGCGCAUAAUUACCUUGAGAUGAUCUAAGUAUUAAAUGCCAGAACUAUAGAAAUUCCUAGAAACAAAGAACCUAAGAUCCUUAUAUCAAUACUAUGAUUUAGCAAUUAAGACAAGAUCAGUAUUAAAAUGAAAAUUAAUUAAAAGAGAUAAUACUUUGAACAAAUAUUGGCCUUAGAUUUAAUUGAAUGUGCAUUAAUCACAGUAAGAUGAGGUAGUGGAGAGGAUCCUUUCCCUACAUAUAUAGUUUAUAUAUAAUCGAACUAUUAAAUGCACAAAUUAACUUUGAAAACAAAAAUUGACAAUCAAACAAAAAGAUAGACAAAGAUGUGUGACCAUUAAUUAAUUGUGAUCCAUAUUUAGUAAUUGAGUCGUUAAUUUCAUUUUCAAGUACUCUUUAUGUCGAUACGUUCUUAUGAUUCAAAUUUUCAUUGAAAAUUGAGUCGAUGUGAAAGAGUACGUUCUUAAAAUUUUCUGAAUACCACAUUAAGCUCCAGAAAACUUAUUACAAAAAGGAAUUAAUCUAUUCUAGGAAAGCUAAGAUGUGCUUUAAGCAAUAAUUAAUCUGGACUUGGUAAAACCGAUGUGAAGAAACUCCAGAAGUCUUCAAAGGUAGUCCCUGUCAAUGCCAAUAAUUUCUUCAAUUUUAGACAAAAAUCUAUAAAUGCUGAAGAAAAAAACAGAUUGAAUAAUAUUCCACUAGGAUGCUUCGUUUCCUCAGCUAGCCCAACGAAGUCACACCAAGCAAUUUCGACCUUAGCUAAAUCUAGCCCACUGAAUAGUAUUGUUCAUGUUCACCUUAUUUUUGUUACUACAGAUUGGCCUCUCUCAGGGUGACGAAGUUGAGCUUCUCUUAUCCUUCAAAUCCUCAAUCAAUGAUCCGUUCGGCUUCUUCUCCGAUUGGAAUUCGUCUGACCCUUUCUGCCUUUAGCACGGAAUCACUUGCAAUAGUUUUUCUUACGUAAAAGCCAUUGAAUUCACUGAGGAUAAAUGUUAUUCGGACGGUUUCCUCAUCAAUCUUUCAUCUGUGAGAUAUCGAGAUUAUUAAUGUAAUCUUUCUACCUAUCAACUCUCCGGUGAAAAUCCAGGUGACAUGGUUUCUUCUGCUUCAAUUCGUUAUCUCAAUCUUAGCAACAAUAAUGUCACUGGUUCAAUUAUUCCAAAUUGUUAAGUUUCACUUGAAAUAUUAGAUUUUUUGAACAACAUGUUAUCGGGUAAAAUUCCAUCAGAAAUUGGAGUCUUGCUUUGAAUUAUUUGCUGGGGAAAAUCCCAAGCUCUAUAUCAAAUAUCACCGGUCUGCACCCUGGCUGGAAACCUAUUAAUUGGUCAAAUUCCACCAAAUAUUGGACGCUGCUUGAAUCUAAAAACACUUGAUCUUGGUGCCCAUUAUUUGGUGGGGAAAAAUUCCAAGCUCCAACGUGUGGAUAGGAACUCUGGUUGUGAUGAAGAGAGACACUUUGCCAGAUACCAAAAAAGGAAGAUUAGACAGAGAGGGUCCAUGAAAACGUUUUGCAGAAUGAAUCCACUUAAUCUUUUCAUGCAAACAGUCAUCUACUUGUUGAAAUUUCUGGCAAAUGCUGAAAUAUAAAAGCAUUAAAAAGUGGAAUAUGAACAGAAAACGGACUUGAGGCAAUUAAGAAUUAAUAGAAGCACAAAAGCAAGUCAGUAAAUCAGGUUAAUGAUAAAAGUGGGGUGAUUGAAUUUGGACCUAUUCCGAUUGCAGGUUGCUUUAGAUAGCUAUAUUUUCCACAAGAAUCUCAGCUCCCAACCCUGCUUCAUAAAAGCUGUGUACCUCAUUAUCUUAUUUUCUAAGUUAUCUACAGAAUAAAAUGUUUAAAGUAACAAUUCCCACAGUAUAACGUAUCAAAUUUAUUAAUCUUAAAAUUAAAUAUUUUAAUCUUGACGUAAUGUUUUCUCUAUAAAACGUUCAAGAGCCUCCACCACCAUCUCUAUACACUCAAAAAUCUGCCUCUCCCUACCCUAAUAUAGAUCAUCACCUCAAUAGUUCAAAAAACCCUUUGUUCUAACUUAAAUCCAUGUUCUUCUAAGAGCUAGGAUGCAUAUCAGAUUCAUGCCACUCUAUCCCUUCAUUUCAAUGUUUUUUGGCUUAGUGUUUUAAGCAGUUUGGUAUCCUAAGCUUUGAGGCCAAGAUUAUUGGUCUUGGAUUAAUUGUUUUUAGUUUCGAAACUCAAGGCAUCCUUUUCCUGUUAAAAAAGUUUCUUGUAAAAUGUUUAGAAAAAGAGCUAAUGCACAAUCUCUGUUGUUCAUGUUCAUGUUUUUAUUUGUACUACAUUUUAGCUUGUCUCAGGUUGAAGAACUCGAGCUGCUCUUAUCCUUCAAAUCUUCAAUCAAUGAUCCUUCUAGCUUCCUCUCCAACUGGAAUUCCUCCACCCCAUUGUGCAUGUGGCAUGGAAUCACUUGCAACAAUUUUUCUAAGGUGAAGGUAAUUGAGCUCGUUGAUAAAAACAUUUCUGGGAUAAUUUCAUCAUCAAUCUUUCAUUUGCCAAAGAUUGAGACUAUCAAUCUUUCAACCAACAAAUUCUCUAGUGAAAUUCCUGGUGAGAUGGCUUUUUCUGUGUCACUUCGAUAUCUUAAUCUUAGUGAAAACAAUUUGACUGGUGCAAUUCCAAACUGUUCAAUUUCAUUGGAAAUAUUGGAUCUUUCAAAUAACAAGCUUUCAGGGAAAAUUCCACCACAAAUUGGAGUAGUAUGUUCAAAUUUAAAAGAAGUUGAUCUUGGUGGCAAUCAUUUGGUAGGGAGAAUUCCAAGCUCCAUAUCAAAUAUCAGCAGUUUGCAAGCCUUGACUCUUGCUUGUAACGAAUUGAUUGGCCAAAUUCCUCGUGAAUUAAGCAAAUUGAAGAGCAUGAAGUGGAUUUACUUUGGCCAUAACCACCUUUCUGGUGAAAUUCCCCAAGAACUUGUUAAUUUAGUUUCUUUGAAUCAUCUUGAUCUUGUCCACAACAAUCUCAGUGGACAAAUUCCAUCCUCGCUAGGAAACCUCACCAAUCUUCAAUACCUCUACCUCUACAAAAACAAGCUUACAGGUUUGCUUCCUCGAUCCAUUUUUGGCCUCAAAAAGCUUGUCGAACUUGAUCUUACUGAAAAUCAUUUAUUUGGUGAGAUCCCAGAACUCAUAAGUGAGUUGCAGAGCUUGGAGAUUCUUCAUCUUUUCUCCAACAACUUUACUGGUAAAAUUCCAAAUGCUCUAGCAUCUUUGCCUCGUCUUCAAGUGGUUGACCUUUUCUCAAACAACUUGACAGGAGAAAUUCCUUCUUCAAUCUGCAAUAUAAGUUCCGUCGAAGUUCUAAGCCUAUCUGAUAACAACUUAAGUGGAAUAAUUCCACCAUGUCUAGGAAACUUCAGCAAAUAUCUUACAAUCUUAGAUCUACAGAUGAACAGUUUUCACGGAACCAUCCUUGAAACGUUUGGUGAGGACUGUGGGUUGAGGUAUCUCAAUUUAUAUUGCAAUAAAUUGCAAGGGCCUUUACCACUAUCCUUGGCCAAUUGUAGAAGCUUGGAAAUGAUUGAUAUUGGUGAUAACAAGUUAAAUGGCACAUUCCCCUAUUGGUUGGAAACUCUACCAGAAUUACAAGUUCUUGUUUUACGGUCAAACAAUUUGUGUGGUGUCUUACAAAGUUCCAAGACCAUCCAUCUCUUUCCCAAGUUACGGAUUCUUGACCUUGCUAACAAUGAAUUCACUGGUCCUUUUCCAAAAGGUAUGAUAAAAAACAUGAUGGCCAUGAUGAAUUUCAGCAAAAGACAAAAUUCUUUGCAGUAUAUGCAAGGAAGACUUUAUUUUUAUGAUGUCAAUUUGAAAGUGAAAGGAUUUUACAUAAGACUUUCCCAUAUCCUGACAAUAUUGACGAGCAUUGAUCUCUCAAACAACAACUUUCAUGGAGAGAUUCCAAAUGUUAUUGGGAAUCUUAAUUCACUUAAAGGGCUCAACCUUUCUCAUAACAGUUUUAGUGGUCAUAUCCCCAUAUCAAUAGGAAAUCUGACCAAUCUAGAAUGGUUAGACCUCUCUUCAAACAAGCUCACCGGUCAAAUUCCUGACCAAUUGAAAGAUAUGACAUUUCUUGCCUGCUUAAAUCUUUCACAUAACCAACUCACAGGACCAAUUCCUCAAGGCAAACAGUUCAGUACAUUUGAAAAUGGCUCAUAUGAAGGAAACUUGGCACUAUGCGGUUUUCCGUUGUCAAAGUCUUGCAACAAUGAUAGGAGAAACCAAUCACCCCCAUCUUUCUUCAAAGAGGCAGAUGACUCAGAGACCAAGAUUAAUUUUGGUUGGAAAGUUGUGUUGAUAGGCUAUGGAUGCGGACUGAUAGUUGGACUCGUUGUUGGAUAUGUUACAUUCAGAAAUGGUGAACCAAAAUGGUUUGUGGCAUUGUAUGGAGUCAAAUAUCAUCGAAAGGGACGAAGAUGCUCACGAAACUAGUCAAUGUAGAUGACUUUGGAAGUUAUUGCAACAUGUGUUCUCUAUGCUCAAUUCCAGUUGUUUUCAUGUACAAGUCUUUGUAUUUUGCUAUUAGUACUAGUGAUUGCUGUAAUUAAAUAGCCAUGUGUUUCAUCAACAAAUUCAUGGCAGUCAAGUGUGGUUGCUACUUUUGCUUAACCCAUGACUUCUCUUGCAAUUUGCUUUCGAUCAUUUAUUUUUACAUGCAUCUGUAUUAAAGAAUCUCAUCUCUGUUUAUGUGAAAAAAAAACAACUAAACAUUUACUACUUUCACCCAUUUGAAAAACUAGGAAGGCUACUCUUCAAUAACAUUUAUAUAAAAAAGUGCAGACCAUUGAAGCAGUUUAAGGGUUUUACAUAGUUAAGGAAAAGAUUUGUCUGAUUGGAAAUGGAUGCAACCGGUGAGGUUACUUGGAGAGGGAUAUAGCAUCUCGACCAGUCUACUCGAGAAAGAAGCUUUGCAAGACUAGAAACCUUGGAAAAAGAAGAAGGGAAAUGCAAAGGAAAAACUACUACAGAACAAUAUUAUCACAAUGCAAAAUCAGUAAAGACAAAAAGUAAACACUUACACAAGAUUAAAGUCUCUAGUAUAUUGCUCAAUACUACUCUAUCUCAUGGAAUUCGUUAGAUUACGAACACCAUAAAAGGUACUAAAUAUUUGUAAUCUGAAAGGAGCCAAAAACACAAGCAGCUUCAGUUUUUUCCUCAUUACAUCCUUCCCUAAAGAUUCUCACUAAGUGGUCAACUAUUCAAACCACAUUUUCUUCAUUAUGAGCUAAUAAACGGAGUGCAUUCUCUGCAACAUCCCAACCAAGAGGAUCAGGUCCUUGAAGAAGCUCAACUAACAAUGGAAUAGCCCGAGCUUGAGCAACAUGGCCAAGGUAAUCAAUCUGAGUUGAAAUCACUACAAAGCGAUUGCCUGCCACAAGUUUUGUGUCACUGCCUCCAACUCGAAUCAAAUACACAAUCACAGGUAUAACACCCAACUCAACAAGCGACAGUUCCUUGCAUCUAUUUAUAGAGGUUCAGUUUCUUCAUUUUUGCUUUCUCAACAUUUAGAAUAUUAUUAUUAUUUUAAGAUAUUUUCGGUAAUUUUUUUAAAAUAGUAUUAUACUCCAUAUUCAGAAGUUUCUUCUUGAAAAACUUAGAAAUAAAAUUCAAAUUUACCAAAUCUAUCACCAUUUUGUAAACAAUGAAAUUUUAUCACUAACUUUGAAAUAACGAUAAGAUUUAUAUUUUUACAAAUAAUAAUCACUAAUUAAUGUAAUAAUUCUUAUAAAGUUUAUGCUCAAAUAGACUCUAAUAUUAUAUUUGAUAUUUGGACGUUUCUUUUUGGUAAACUUGAAAAUAAAAUCUAAAUUUACUAAAUUUAUUACUCAUUUUAUAACAUAUGAAAUUUUAUCAAUAACGAUAAAAUAUGUGAAACUUUAUAUCGAAUGAAAUUUUACCAAUAACGGCAAGAUUUGUAAAGUUUUGUGUUGAAUGAAAUUUUCUCAAUAAGGCAAGAUUUGUGAAGUUUUGUAUCAAAUGAAAUUUUAUGAAUAACGUCAACAUUUGUAAAGCGGAAUGUUCAUUUCCCAUAUUGAAGGACCGAAACUAAAUUAUAGUCAAAACUUAAAGCAUUGAAAAAAUAAACACAAACAUUUUUGAAAUACCAAAGUAUAUUGAACAUGGAACAAUAUUCAGCCAAUGCUUUGGGCAAUUGGUCACACGCACCUCUUUCUAAACCAAAAACCCUAAAAUCAAGAGAAAAACUUAUGACACAAAAAUUUGCUGCCAAUAAUUUAACUGUCAUAUACCAAAAUUUAAUCCGUUCUGCACUUCAUUAUGAAAGCAGUGCAAUAGCACAUUCUUUUCUUUUUUUUUUACCCUAGUUAUUGAAUCCUGUAAUGAACAAAUAAAAUCGUUCCCUGAAAAGAUUCCGGGUGAUCUGUUCUAUCUAUUCAACACCCGAGAUUUGAGGGGGCAACCGGAGGCUGAAUACAGAUUGAAUUUAUAACAUUUGGGACAAAGAACAAUGAGAUGAUGAAACCCCCCCUGCAAAUUCGAAGUCAUCAGAAACAAAAGCAAGUCAUGAUGCAUAACUUGUUAUUACGGUGCCAAAAUAGAACUGAAUGUCUCUAGCGAAAACUGGAUUCGAAAUGGUUCAGAACGAAAGGAGUAAUUGUUGAAACCUUUCCGAGAAUUACCAGUACAUCAUGCGUUUUGCUGGACUUGCCGGUGUAUUAGCGUUAUCCAAUCAACAUAACCACUGGUACCGCCCAUCUGGUCCUCGAGAAGAUUUACAAGAAGCAGCAAACCUUCCCUGGGUUGCUCACCUUGUCUUACAAGAUAAGAAAGUUGAUAAUACGAACGGUCGCUCUCUCUUAGUUUCUUCAAUACCCUCAUCAGCCUUCUUGACAUUUCAUUAUCAUGCUCGCUAAGGGUAACCUGAUUUUUAAAUAGAAAACAUAAAGAACCAGGUGAAUUAAGUACAACCUCAUCAUGGCACAGCAGGCCAAGGAAAGGUCAACGGAACAGAUUAACUUCAGAUACGGUUAUCAUGGAGAAAAUUUGUAUGCACGCAAGUUUCCAAAAAAUAAAAGAACCAUCAAAACAAGCUAAGCAUAUUACAUAGAAUAUUACAUUGCCACAGUCAUUGGUUGCAAUUGACAUUCAGUUAUAUAUAUUUAGAACCACUCCAAAAUUUUACUUAUUAAUCAAAUCAGACAUAUUGUACUAAAGGUGGAGUUCAUAAAACAGUAAGGCCAACACUUAAGGCACAUCUUAUAUAUGUUGAAGACCAACAACAACAUCAGUAUCCUUUAUACAUAAAAUGGUCACUAAAGCAGAUGAAAUAUAUACUAAUAUCCAACAAUCUUGCCACCAUAGAAUAACUUCACCAACAAGAGAUCAUACCUUUGACAAUUCCGCUGCAAAGUCCGCCCCAAGUAAAUUCCUAGCUAUAUCAGGCGAAAGCAUUCUACGAAACCAUAUAACGAAGCGGAAGCCAUCAUCAUAUAUAUAAAGGCCUCUUGAGUUUAGGCUUUCUGCAAUCAAUGGCAGUCUCUUCACAGUGGUUUUUAAAUCAUCAGCUUGAGCAGAUGGCUGCAAAGAUAAGACAGAAGUGACGUACAGUUUGCAAAAUCUACAUCUUUAUUCAAAUUAUUCAAAGGCACAAAAUCUUUCACCUCCAAAAGAUACUCAUCAACGUGAAUCAAGCUAGGAUAUAAAAGAUUCAACAACUUUUUAACAGGUAAUGCCAUCAUGUAAUUUGCUUACGAUCAUUUAUUCUUACAUGCAUCAGUGCAAAAGAAUCUCAUUCUAUUUAUGUGGAAAAUACAGCUACCAUUGCCUCAAAGUUAAAACAUUAUACAUCUUAGAAACAGAUACUUCUUUCACCAAUUUGAAAAUCUUGGGCCCGAUACAAUGCUGGGAUGGAAAGGCGGUGAAUUCAGAGGUAACUGCAAAUGGCGAUUCAAGAAUAUUUUUUAAAAAAUCAAUGAAAAUCACAUUAUUGAAAAAUAAUUAAGAUGCUAUUAUUCUUUUAAAAAUUUAUAUAUUGAUAUCACCAAAAAUUUUAAAAAAAAUACACAUUAUAAUUAAUCCUCAUAAAAAAAUAUAUACAAAUAAGGGCGGAGCUAGUCAACUUUUAUUGGGGGGUUAAAGAUGAAGAUGAAUAAUGUAUGAAAAAUAUAAAUAGUUAAAUACAAUAUACAAAUUUAAUAAUUUUCUCUUAUAUAAUCAGUAUUGUUUAAAAACUAAAUACUCAAAGAUAAUUUCCUUUCAACAAAAUAUAAAAUGUAAAGCAUAUAAAAAAAUAUCUUAUAUAACCAAGAUUAAUAAAAGAUUGAUAUAUUGAUAAAAUUUUAAACAAUAAUCAAUAAUACAACGCUACAACGCAUAUUUAAGAAUACAUAACAAAUAAAAUAUGACAAGUAUAAGAUAGAACUAUUUAACAAAAAGAACAAUAUAAUUGAUGAUUCAUAGAAAUUUAAAGAAAAAAAUUUAUAAAAACUUAUAACANNNNNNNNNNNNNNNNNNNNNNNNNNNNNNNNNNNNNNNNNNNNNNNNNNNNNNNNNNNNNNNNNNNNNNNNNNNNNNNNNNNNNNNNNNNNNNNNNNNNNNNNNNNNNNNNNNNNNNNNNNNNNNNNCUUAUAUACCAAACACUGCAAUUAUCUUUCCUGUAAUCAUAUUGCUUGCAAUCAUAUUUUCUGCAAUCACAUUAUCUAUAAUCACAUUACAUUAUAAAGUAUCAAACGUUACCUUUACGCAUCUAACUUAAAACAUUUUGAAAGCAGUGUAUAUAUAUAUAUAUAAAACAUAGUGUAACUAAGGAUGUUGAUAUGACAAUCGUAAUUUUUUUUGUAUAUAUAUAUAUAUCUUGAUGCAUAUAUAUAAUUAAACUGAUUUGUGAGAUCAGACAUUUUUUUCAUCACACCAAAUCAGGAGACUAUGCCCUGAAAGAAAAGGUGGACAUAGCUCAACCAUCACAAUUAAUUCCAAACAAAAAGAUGGUCAUGGAAUUAGGCAAUGCAGAUGACUUUGGCAAGGCGUUGGUAGCAUUUGCUUCCAGAUGUUUUCGGUCCACGGUCAAGUAUUCAUGGUCAUGGUUUGUCAUUACCGUAAGUUCUGGUAAUAUGCAGUUAUAAAAUAUCCAUGCCUUUCAUCAGCAGAUCAUAUAAUUAAAUGAUCAGGUUAGAAAUCCUUUGCUCAGAGAGAUGCUAGGAUUUUGUGUGGAUAGGAUUCUGAUUGUGAAGAAGAGAGUCACUUUGCCAGAUAGCCAAAAGGAAAAUCAGACACAGAAUUCGCGGGAAAACUUAUUGCAGAGUGAACUCACCAGCAUAAUGCUUCCAAUUUGUGAAGAUAUUGAAAUCUAUGGUCUUCCAUCUUGGGAUAAAAAUAAAUAAAUCUAUCAUCAACUUCUUGGGUUCUAAGCUUUAGGUGCAAAGAAGCAUCCACCUUUUGAAAUUUCUGGCAAAUGCUAGCUGUGAUAUAAAAACACUAGAAUAAAUAAAACACAAAAGCAAGUCUUUGCGUGCUUCUCAUGCUUAUGAAUACUUAAAUCAUCCAUCAUCCUUUUACAUUAAAUAAGACUCCAUGUGCUUUCGGGAAGUGCCAAGUCUCCUACGUUUACCUUCAUCUCUCCUUGUACAUUCCUUAAAUCUUCUGAUUUUUUAUGAGAUGACAGAGAUGUGGGAUUAAUGUGGAAAAAAACAAGGGAGAGAGAUUAUAGCUGGUGAUUAAGAAGACAUAAGGUAUUGAGUCAGGGUCAAAAAAGCUAUCUAAAAGCAAACCUGCAUUGGGGAAAAAUGUGGAUGUAGGUCCAAAUUCAAUCACCCCAUUAAUUUAUGUGCUUAUCACAAAGCAAAUCUGCAGCAUAGAAAUCUGUUGCAAUUCAUUACUAUUAAAUAUAUAUGUGCUUCACGAGGUGUUGAAAAUGGACCUGGAUCUUCUACAAGUUAAUAUCAUGGGUUUCUCAAUCGAUGGUCUUUCAUCUUGGGAUAAAAAAUUAAAUCUGUCAUCAACUUCUUGGGUCCUGAGCUUUACGCGCAAAGAAUCAUCUGCCUUUUGAAAUUUCUGGCAAAUGCUGUGAUAUAAAAACAUUAGAAUGUAGAAUAUGAACAGAAAAAGGACUUGAGGCAACUUAGAAUUAAUAAAAACACAAGCAAGUUCGUAACUUUGCGUGAUUCUCAGGUUUACGAAUACUUAAAUCAUCCACUAUCCUUUUCCACUAAAUGCUUGAGUUACACCAAGUAAGACUCCAUUUGCUAUCGGAAAGUGCCAAAUCUUCUACUUUUUACCUUCAUCUCUCCUUGCACAUUUCUUAUAUCUUCUAUUUGAGACGGGGUUGGAGAUGACUGGGAGAAAAAAGACAAGAUUAUAGCCCGUGAUUAAGGGUUCAGGCAAGAAGACCAAGAAGACUUAACGUAUUGAAUCAGGCUCAAUAAAUACAGCUAUCUAAAAUCAACAUGCAAUGGAGAAAAAUAGGCAUGUAGGUCCAAACUCAGUUACCCCACUUAUGGCCAAGUCCGCAGCACCCAUAUCUGUUGCAAUUUAGUCCUCUUAGCUAUAUAUUUAUAUAUCUUUCAUUAGGUGUUGGAAAUUGAUUGGGACAUCUACAAGUUAAUAAUUAUCAUUUUAGGACAAAGAAUUGAAUUUCAUUUUAAUCAAAUGUAUAUAAUAUAAAGCACCUGAACAUUUGAUUUAUUGAUUAGUGCAUGAUCCCCUACCUAAAGAGCACGAUCCGAAUCUCCUUUCCCUCAAUUAAAAAUAGUGUAUAUAAUAUUAAACUUAAAAUUGAAUUUACUUUCAUUUAAGAUAUAAAGGGAAGCAAUUAUAUUCUGUUUAGCUGAUAUUUUUACUAUUGGCCUUUUUAUUGUUAAUCUUUUAUUUUUUACUUUUUACUUUCUCUUAUUUUUUGCAAAGAAAAAAUAAAUAACAAAAGCAUGGAGCCACUUGUUUUUCACGCAUGAGUUUCGCAGCAUCCUUACACAUUCAAACAUCUGCCUCUACCCACUCUAAUAUCAUCGCCUCAAUAGUUCAAAAACCUCUUUGUUCUGAUAUAAACUGAUUUGGGAUUAAUUAGUUUUAGUCCCAAAGCUCAAGACUUCCUUUCCCUGUUAAAAGAUCUUCUUGUAAAAUGUUAUAUAAAACAGCUACAGCACACAAACUCUUGUUCAUGUUCAUGUUUUUAUUAAUACUAAAUUUUAGCUUGUCACAGGGUGACGAACUCCAGCUGCUCUUAUCCUUCAAAUCUUCAAUCAAUGAUCCAUCUGGCUUCCUCUCCAACUGGAACUCCUCCACCCCGUUGUGCAUGUGGCAUGGAAUCACUUGCAACAAUUUUUCUAGGAUUAAGGUAAUUGAGCUCACUGAAAAAAAUAUUUCUUGGACAAUUUCAUCUUCAAUCUUUCAUUUGUCAGAGAUUGAGUUUAUCAAUCUUUCGAUUAAUCAAUUCUCUGGUCAAAUUUUCAAUGAUUUGGUUUCUUCUGUGUCACUUCGAUAUCUUAAUCUUAGUUGUAACAAUUUGACUGGAACAAUUCCAAACUGUUCAAUUUCAUUGGAAAUAUUGGAUCUUAGUCGUAACAUGUUGUUCGGGAAAAUUCCACCACAAAUUGGUCAAUGCUCGAAUCUAAAAGAACUUGAUCUUGGUGGAAAUAAUUUGGCGGGAAGAAUUCCAAGCUCCAUAUCAAAUAUCAGCAAUUUGCUAAUGUUAAGUCUUGAUCGUAAUGAAUUGAUUGGCAAAAUUCCUCGUGCAUUAGGCAAACUGAAGAGCCUGAAGGGGAUAUACUUUGGCAAUAACUACCUUUCUGGCAAAAUUCCACAAGAAUUUGUUGAUUUAGUUUCUUUGAUAUUUCUUGAUCUUGCCAACAACAAUUUCAGUGGACAAAUUCCUUCCUCGCUUGGAAACCUCACCAAUCUUCAAUACCUCUCCCUCUUCAACAACAAUCUCAACAGACAAAUUCCAUCCUCGUUUGGAAACCUCACCAACAUUAAAAACCUUUACCUCCAUAACAACAAUCUCAACGGACAAAUUCCAUCCUCGCUUGGAAACCUCACCAAUCUUCAAUAUCUCUACCUCUACAGAAAUAUGCUCACAGGUUUGCUUCCUAAAUCCCUUUUUGGCCUCAAAAAGCUUAUUCACCUUGAUCUGAGUGAGAAUCAUUUAUUUGGUGAGAUCCCAGAACUCAUAAUUGAAUUGCAGAGCUUGGAGGGUCUUCAACUUGUCUCCAAUGACUUUACGGGUAAAAUUCCAAAUGCUCUAACAUCUUUGCCUUAUCUUCGAAGAAUUGCUAUUUACUCAAACAACUUGAUUGGAGAAAUUUCUUCUUUGAUCUGCAAUUUAAGUUCCAUUGAAGUUAUUGAUCUAGGUGAUAACAGCUUAAAUGGAACCAUUCCACCAUGUUUGGGAAACUUCAGCAAAGGUCUUUCAAUCUUAGAUUUGCAUAUGAAUAGUUUUCAUGGAACCAUCCCUGAAACUUUUGGUAAGGACUGUGGGUUGAGGUAUCUCAACUUCAAAGAAAAUAAAUUGGAGGGGUCUUUACCACGAUCCAUGGCCAAUUGUAGAAACCUGGAACUGAUGGAUUUUGGCGGCAACAAGUUAAAUGGCACAUUCCCCUAUUGGCUAGAUACUCUGCCAGAAUUACAAGUUCUUGUUUUACAGUCAAAUAAAUUGUGUGGUGUCUUGCAGAGUUCCAAGACUAUCCAUCCCUUUCCCAAGUUACGGAUUCUUGACCUUGCUAACAAUGAAUUCGCUGGUCCUUUGCCCGAAGGUAUAAUAAAAAACAUGAAGGCCAUGAUGAAUCUCAAUGAACAACAAAGUUCUUUGCAAUAUAUGCAAGGAGAAUAUUAUAAUUAUUAUGUCAAUUUGAUUGUGAAAGGAUUUUGUGUUAUAUAUUUUCAUAUCUCAAAAACAUUUGCAAGCAUUGAUCUCUCAAAUAAUAACUUUCAUGGAGAGAUUCCAAGUGUUAUCGGAAAGCUUAGUUCACUUAGAGGGCUCAACCUUUCUUAUAACAGUCUUAGUGGUCAUAUCCCUACAUCAAUGGGUAAUUUGACCAAUCUCGAAUGGUUAGACCUCUCUUCAAAUAAGCUCACUGGGCAAAUUCCUGACGAAUUAAAGGAUAUGACAUUUCUUGCCUGCUUAAAUCUUUCACAUAACCGACUUAUAGGACCAAUUCCUCAAGGUCAACAGUUCAGUACAUUUGAAAAUGGCUCAUACGAAGGAAACAUGGCACUAUGUGGCUUUCCAUUGUCGAAAGCUUGCAACAACGAUGGGAGGAAACGAUCAUCUCCAUCAUUCUUGAAAGAGGCAGACGAUUCAGAGACUAAGAUCAGUUUUGGCUGGAACGUUGUGUUGAUGGGCUAUGGAUGUGGACUGAUAUUUGGAGUCAUUAUCGGAUAUGUUACAUUCAGAAAUGGUGAACCAAAAUGGUUUGUGACAUUGUAUCGAGUCAAAUAUCAUCGAAAGGGAAGAAGAUGCUCACGGAACUAGUCAGUGCAGAUGACUUUGGAAGUUAUUGCAACAUGUGUUCUCUGUACUCUAUUCCAAUUGUUUUCAUGGACAUGUCUUUGUAUUUUGCUAUUAGUACUAGUGAUUGUUGUAAUUAAAUAGCUAUGUGUUUCAUCAGCAAAUAUAUGGCAGUGAAGUGUGGUUUUGUAAUUUUCUUUUGCUUUUGCUUAACGCAUGACUUCUCUUGUAAUUUUCUUUGGAUGAUCUAUUCUUACAUGCACCUGUACAAAAGAAUCUCAUUUCUGUUAUGUGGAAAAUAUAGCUACCAUUGCCUCAAUGUUAAAACUGAUACUAAAUUCACCAAUUUGAAAAACUAGAAUGACUAUUCUUCAAAAACAUUUUAAUAAAAAAGUGCAGACCAUUGAAGCAGUUUCAAGGUUUUACAUAGUUAAGAAAAAGAUUUGACUGAUUGGAAAUGUAUGCAACCUUUGGGAUUAAUUGGAGAAGGAUGCAGCUUCUCGACUAGGUGACUUGAGAAAGAAAUUUUGCAUGACUAGAUACCCUGGAAGAAGAAGGGAAAUACAAAGGAAAAACUAUAGAACAAUAUUAUCACAAUGCAAGAUCAGUGAAGACAAAAAGCAACCAAUUAGACAAGAUCAGGGUCUAUAGUAUGCUGCUCAAUACUACUCUGUUUCGAAGAAUUCGUUAGAUUACGAAGACCAUAAAGUCUGAUAAUACUGUCUCGCAAGCUUUAUUGCGAAGGAAGGUCAACAUCCACGGAUAUUGUCUCGUGACAAUACUGUGGAUCUUGGCAGAGAAUUAUAACAGCCUCCAUAGCAUUAUCCCUCACUUACUCUGAAUCAUCAUGUAACAAUUCAGUGAGACGAUUAACAGCUCUUGUUUCAAUUAUUGUGUUACGCCUCAAACCCUGAGAUAUGACAAACGUCGCAUACCUGUAAGAUAUAAUCUCACAGACAUGCAAAACUCCAGAACACAUAUCUUGUACCACUUACUAAAAAAGACUAAUAUACCUGAAAAAUAUAGUGAUUCAUAUAACUAUAUCUGUAUGUAGAAACUAAAAGGUCAUAAUUCGACAACAUUCAAAGUUAAAUCUUUAAAACUAUAAAGCUAAUAUGUCAAGAUAAAAGCCUGAAUACCAAUUAAAGAUAGUUCAAUGUUCAUAACAUUUAAAUAAUCUUAGACACUCUAAAUUCAUAUACUAGAUGAUGAAACAUCACUCCCUAAAAUUUCUCACGUGGUUGAUCAAAUCACAAUUUGAAAAAAAUAGUGAAGGAAGAAGUGAGUCCAACUACUCAGUAAGUAACUAACAUCCCUUCAGCCAGAUUAAGCAUGCUCAAAACAAUUAGGCCCAAAAUUUAUUUAUUCUCAUAUAAAUAUCAAAACAAAAUUUUGGAUAACCUAAUUUUGAAUAACAAAACUAUCUUACUCCAAAAUUUUCAAUUAACAAAACAAAAUAUAAAUUUCACAAAGUUUCAGAUUUUGAUUGUCUCCUGUAACAUGCUAUGACCACAUCUAAAACUUGUGGCAUAGGUCAUAAAUAAAUCCACAAUUAACUCAGUGGCACAAGUCAAAAAUAUAUCAAAAGCAACUAUUGGAUGCACUGAACAGAUAUCACAAAUACCACUAUUCUGUAACCGACGGUAUGGGAGAUCGAUCUCUAAUCACAGAGUACAUGUCGACAUGGCCAACAUUUAACCCCCAUUGAUAGGGUCGAGCAUAAUCAUACUAGGAGACAAAACAGAAACAUAUAUUUUUAGAUUACUCAAAUUGUAUAAAAUAGUAUAUCAGUUUUCUCAAGCAUAUCCCAUACACAUCAAAAGCAUAUUCAUUUCAGACUAAAUAUUUAUGUUUAUAUUCACAAAAUCAUAUACAAAUUUCAAAAUUAAAAAUCAAGCUUUGCAUAAGCCACAUUCUAAAUACAAGGUACAAAACUCAUAUACAUACACAUUUUGCAUGCUCAACCCGAUUUUAAUAAAUCGUAGGACAAAAUAUCAUAUAUCAUGUACAAAUUCACAUUAAGGUUAAUUUUUACGGUGUCAAAACAUCAAAGGAAUAUCAGUCACUCAUCUAAUUUUGUCAAUUUCACUUUUAAGCAGCAAAGCAGAAAAUCCUCCUAGUAACUUAAUAUAACAAGAAAAUACAUACAAAAUUAGAACUGAAUUCGCAAACAAAUCUUACAAGGUGACUUCCGAUGGGCAUCCUAAGCAUUUAAGGUGUGUAGCGACUUCUAUUACAAUUUAGAAACAUUUUCGAUUAAUAAAUUAAUAUUUUAUUAUUAUAUAUAUUUUUUAAAUUAAUAAAAUUUUAAAUAAAGUUGAGAAUUUAAACUUAAAUCAUAAAAUCAGUAAGGAUUUUUUUUUAAUUUUCGAUGAAAAGAUAACACUAAUUUCAUUCAUAAAAAUCAUAUUUAUAAUUUUCAUUAACUUUUGAUAUUUUAAUAAAAUUUUUCAGAAUCUCGAUGGUCAUUUGGCCUACUUUGAGCUCUUGUAACUCUUAACCCAAAUUUUUUCCAGCGAUAAAAUCAACACCAAUUUGAAAUAUUCAUAUCAUUCUAUAACCAAAAUUUGUUUCUAUUAAACAGAAUGCAAAAUUUCCAAUUUUUAAAAAUCAAAAUUUUAGAAAUCGUCACAAAAAUACCCAUAUUUUUUUGUUUCCAGUACAAUGAGCCUACUUUGAGGUUUUAGUUCUCUUAACACAAGAAGCCCCUAACUGAGCUAUUAACAACAAAUUAAACAUCUCAUUUCAUACUACAAAAGUCCUCAAAGAAAUGACCAAAAAUGUUACCUGAACAUGGAUUUCCUGUGACCCAAAGUUGGGCUUUAGAGGAGUAUAAAUGAGUCCACACUGUAUGUGAAGAGUGAAAAUGGCACCAUGUUACUCGUUGCAGCACUCUAUGUUAAUGAUCUUUUAAUUACCGGACCUGAAGGGCAAUAUUUAACUGAGUUUAAAACUCAGAUGAAGAAGGUGUUCGAAAUGACAGACUUGGGUGAAAUGACUUAUUUUCUUGGGAUGGAGGUUAUACAAUCUACUGGUAAGAUUGUUUUGCAUCAAGUGAAAUAUGCAAAAGACCUACUUAACAGGUUCAAAAUGAGUAUGUGCAAGGCUGUAAGUACACCUUUGAGUACUGGUUCAAAAUUUUGCAGAGAUGAUGGUACUGCUAAGGCAAAUGGGCAGUUAUAUAGAAGCAUCAUUGAAUCUUUACUAUAUUUAGCAGCUACAUGGCCUGAUAUAAUGUUUGUUACAUGUUUAUUGUAAAGGUUCAUGCAAGAUCCUACAGAGACUCAUUUUACAGUAGAUAAGAGGAUCUUGAGAUAUGUGAAGGGAACUAUGGAUUAUGGAUUAGUGUACAUGAAGCAAAAGAGCAGUCAGUUGGUAGGCUUUUCAGACAAUGAUUGGGCUGGUUCUUUAGAUGAUUCUAAAAGCACAUGAGGGUUUUGUUUCUCUUUUGGCAGUGCAGUGUUUGCUUGGAAUUCAAAGCAACAAGUGGUUGCUCAGUCAACAGCUGAGGCUGAGUACAUUGCUUGUGCAGCUACUGCUAACCAUGCUCUAUGGUUAAGGAAGUUACUUGUUGAGCUGGGAUUCAAGCAAGUCAAAGGAACUCUGCUCAAUGUUGACAACAUGUCAACAAUUGCUAUUGCAAAAAACCCUGUUCAACAAGGCACAUCAGAGUCAAGUACCAUGCUCUGAAAGAUGCUAUAAAAGAAGGUGAAAUUGAAUUGGUUCAUUGUGCAACUGCUGAUCAGGUUGCUAAUAUUUUUACCAAAAGUUUGGGAAAGGAGAGAUUUGAGUAUUUGAGAUUAUGUCUUGGAGUUAUUCAAAUUGAGAAUUAUAGGGUUGUGUUGAAAGGUAAUUCUCAAUCUGGAAGCAAAACUGAUUGAAGAUCAAGCGGGAAGCAACAGCUUUGAAGGUUGAAGAAUACACUUGGAGCAUAAACGGUGGCGUUUCUUGAUUGAAUAGGCUAGAGGUUUCAAAACGCAUCGUUUUAGUCUUUGUUUAAAGUUGCUGUCCUCAAAACAAUGUGAUGUUUGUCGUUUGAGUUUGCUGUAAUUCUACUUAAUCUUAUGCGCAUUUUUGUAAUGUCGUUUAGUCUGUUUUUCAUUUUCUGUUUCAAGGCCUAACAGCCAUGGUUGAUUAAACGUGAAUUUUAGUGCUGGAUCCGAUUUGUUAAGAAGUGUUGUUAACUUUGGAAGUUUAAAAUACAAAGAGUUGAAUAAAAAUAUUAAGAUCUCUACUGCUCUUGCUGCUCCCUACUUCUUCCUUUACUCCUCUGUUUUCUUAUUUUAAUUUUUUCCGGAGAAAUUUUUGUAAAUUUUUCUUCAAUGCUUCAGCUUUUGCCUCAUUAUUUCCUUUCCUAAGGAUUCUCACUAAGUGGUCAGCUAUUGAAGCCGCAUUUUCUUCAUUAUGAGCUAAUAGACAGAGUGCAUUCUCUGCAACAUCCCAACCAAGAGGAUCAGGUCCCUGAACAAGCUCAGCUAACAUUGGAAUAGCCCCAGCUUGAGCAACAUGACCAAGGUAAUCAAUCUGAGUUGAAAUCACUCCAAGGGAAUUGUCUGCCUUGAGUUUUGUGUCACUGUCUCCAACUCGAAGCAACUCCACAAGCACAGGUAUAGCACCUAACUCAACUAGCGAACACCGAGCUUGCCUUGUAGUUGCAAGCAACCCAAUUGCUUGACAAGCUCGUUCUCUAGAUAGCAUGUUACCAUAACUAGCUGCGUCAACAAGAAAGUGAACCCCACCUAAAUCAACAAGACCUUACUUCUUUCAACAUUGAUAGUGCUCUCAAAAUCUCUAACAAGUACCGCCUAACACUACGCACAGAUGAAUUUAACAGGUUAGCAAUAAUCUCCAAACCACCAUUGUUUGCAACAAUGACACGAUUAUCAUCAGUACCCAAAUUUACAAGACACCAGAGGCAUUGUGCAGAAAGUCUUUGAAAACUACCAUCAGAUUCAGGCAACAACCUCAAUAUCGAAAGCAAAGCACCAGAUUGGCCUAUCUCUGUGGCCAACCUGCCAUCACCCUGACGAGCAAUGCAUUUUAAGCAAUGAACAACCACUCCUUGAAGAGAAGGACUCGAACUAUUUGAGCUAUGAUCAGCAACAAGACUAGCAAGAAUCGGUAUGGUAUGGCCUAAGAUAUUCUCUGGGGCAUGAUUGGAUAGUUUGGCCAAUUUGAUUAUGGCUUUUAGACGCAUGGCCUCAGUACCACGAUCAAUCACCCUUUUGAAGUGAUCCGAUGCUUCUUCCCAAUUUGGGUCCAUUUCCUUUUCUGACAUCCUUGUAUCUGUAUCACCAAAUUAUCUAAUUUGAGCCUGACACAAGAUUUCAAACCAUGAAAGUACAUUAAAGAAAAAGAAAGACAUGGACAGCAAUAUUCAAAGAAGAGAAGGUUUCAUAUCUUGAAAAUCCCAGAAGAGUUUUUGCAUGGGGCAAAAGCAAUAUAUCUAUAAACAAAGAAUCAAGUUUUGAUAUUCAGAAAAGCAGAUGGAACAAGAAAAAAUAUAAACUUUAAUGGGGUUACUGAGCAGAUUAGAAGAAAACGAGACAAGGGUAUGGUUGUAAGAUAAUGUUAAAAAGAAGAUGAGAAGAGUGAGGAAGGAAAGGAAAGGAGACGAGCAGAAAGUACCCUUUGGGAACAGAUUUUGGAAUAAGAUUCUUGUCUGCCUGUACGAGUACGAGGGAAGUUGCUUUCUCAGUUACUAGAGCAGCUAUUUAUAGAGUUUCAGUUUCGUCUUUUUUGCUUUCCCAACAUUUGGAAUAUUAUUAUUAUUAUUUUAAAGAUAUUUUAUCACUAUAUUUGAAAUAACUGACAUGAUUUACAUUUUUACAAAUAACAGUCAUUAAUUAAUGUAAUAAUUUUUAUAAAGUUUAUGUUCAAAUAGACUCUAAUAUGAUAUUCGAUAUUUGAGCAUUUCUUUUCAAAAAACUUAAAAAUAAAAUUUAACUUUACUAAACUAUCACAUAAAAUUUUAUCAUUUGUGAAGCUUUGUAUCGAAUGAAAUUUUAUCAAUAACACUAAAGUUUGUAAAGUUUUGUAUCGAAUGAAAUUUUAUGAAUAACAGCAACAUUUGUGAAACAGAAUGUCCAUUUUCGAUUUCUGAUAUUAAAGGAUCAAAACUAAAUUAUAGUCAAAACUUAAAAGAAUUGAAAAAUAAACACAAACAUUUUAGAAAUUCCAGAAUAUAUUGAACAUGGAGCAAUAUUCAACCAAUGCUUUGGGCAAUUGGUCACACGCACCUCUUUCUAAACCAAAAACCCUAAAAACAAGGGAAAAACUUAUGAAACAAAAAUUUGCUGCCAAUAAUUUAACUGACACAUACCAAAAUUUAAUCCGUUCUGCACUUCAAUAUCAAAGCAGUGCAAUAGCACAUUCUUUUUUCUUCCCCUAGUUAUUGAAUCCUGUAAUGAACAAAUAAAAUCGUUUCCUGAAAAUAUUCCGAGUGAUCUGUUCUAUCUAUUCAACACCCGAGAUUUGAGGGGGCAACCGGAGGCUGAAUACAGAUUGAAUUUAUAACAUUUGAGGCAAAGAACAAUGAGAUGAUGAAACCUCCCCCUGCAAAUUCGAAGUCAUCAGAAACAAAAGCAAGUCAUGAUGCAUAACUUGUUAUUACGGUGCCAAAAUAGAACUGAAUGUCUCUAUCGAAAACUGGAUUCGAAAUGGUUCAGAACGAAAGGAGUAAUUGUUGAAACCUUGCCGAGAAUUACCAGUAUAUCAUGCAUUUUGCUGGACUUGCCGGUGUAUUAGUGUUAUCCAAUCAACAUAACCACUGGUACCGCCCAUCUGGUCCUCGAGAAGAUUUACAAGAAGCAGCAAACCUUCCCUGGGUUGCUCACCUUGUCUUACAAGAUAAGAAAGUUGAUAAUACGAACGGUCGCUCUCUCUUAGUUUCUUCAAUACCGCCAUCAGCCUUCUUGACAUUUCAUUAUCAUGCUCGCUAAGGGCAACCUGAUUUUUAAAUAGAAAACAUAAAGAACCAGGUGAAUUAAGUACAACCUCAUCAUGGCACAGCAGGCCAAGGAAAGGUCAAAGGAACAGAUUAACUUCAGAUACGGUUAUCAUGGAGAAAAUUUGUAUGCACGCAAGUUUCCAGAAUAUAAAGGAGCCAACAAAACAAGCUAAGCAUAUUACAUAGAAGAUUACAUUGCCAUAGUCAUUGGUUGCAAUUGACAUUCCAUUAUAUAUAUUUAGAACCUGUAUGAUAAGACCACUCCAAAAUUUCACUUAUUAAUCAAAUCAGACAUAUUGUACUCAUGGCAGAGUUCAUAAAACAGUAAGGCCAACACUUACGGCACAUCUUAUAUAUGUUGAAGAUCAACAACAAUAUCAGUAUCCUUUAUACAUAAAAUGGUCACUAAAGCAGAUGAAACAUAUACUAAUAUCCAACAAUCUUGCCACCAUAGAAUAACUUCACCAACAAGAGAUCAUACCUUUGAUAAUUCUGCUGCAAAGUCCGCCCCAAGUAAAUUCCUAGCUAUAUCAGGCGAAAGCAUUCUACCAAACCAUAUAACAAAGCGGAAGCCAUCAUCAUAUAUAUAAAGGCCUCUUGAAUCUAGGCUUUCUGCAAUUAAUGGCAGUCUCUUCACAAUGGUUUUUAAAUCAUCAGCUUGAGCAGAUGGCUACAAAGAUAAGACAUAAGUGAUAUUCAGUUUGCAAAAUCUACAUCUUUAUUCAAAUUAUUCAAAGGCACAAAAUCUUUUACCUUCAAAAGGAACUCAUCAACACGAAUCAAGCUAGGAUAUAAAAUAUUCAACAACUUUUUAACAGGUAAUGCCAUCAUGGUGAAACCUGCUGCACAGCGUUCAUCAAGCUGAGCAUCAGCAUAUCCUCCUCUUAGAGGUACUGAUUUACAGAGUGCUAAUCCAUACAAACACAAGAACUUUAAGGACUCUGGAUAAAUCAUCCUAGCUCCCAAGCGAUGCUGGACAGCAUAGAGAUUGCGGUAUUCUCUAAGUGCUUUUACAAUCCUUAGUUGCAAAGAAUUUCUAGCAUCUUCAAGUUUAUUGGUCAAAGUUUUCUCGAUUGCUGCAAAAUAUCAGUUGAUUAGAAAAUCCCUAAAACCAAGAUCCACUAAACAAAUAGCAUCUCUUGAACAAGGGUUUUGUUUAACUUACCUAACCUACAAAACAAAGAAACAAUGGCACCAGUAUCAGCCUGACGGUACAUCUCUCCCAGAUCUGUAACAACUGGGGCAGCUGCUGUAUGUACUCUGAUACGCCUCUCUCCGCAUGAUGCCGUGUAUCUUUAGAUUGUUAAAGAAACAUCAGUAACCCAAAUCUUUUUCCACUUCUAAAAGUAAGCCAGCCAGUUUCAGCAAACAAGGGAAUAACCCAAACAAUUAAAAUUGAUAUAAUUUCAACAAGCUCAAUGCAGAGAAAAAAAAAAUGAUGCAAAUCCAGUUGUGGCUUGCAAACACAAGGAAAUAUAGAUAUGAAACAUAAAGACCCAAGGUUCAGCAAGGAUUCUCUCGAUAAUGCAAAGGAAAAAGAUAUAUACAUAUAUGUUUUAUGAAAUAGGAACUUUAUUAAUUUUAUAAGAAAGGACCCAAAGUUCUGUCAGCGACAAGCUCUUCCUGAUCAAAAUUAAUUGUAAAAGGAACCAGUGACUAGCCUUUUUAGAUAAGGAUCAGGUUAGAUAUAACAUGACUCAAUUAAGGAACUUCACAAAUUUAAUCAAGUAAAAUUUUCGCUCCAAGAAGACGCUCACAGCUACUGUAAACAGAGCCACACAAUACC
rnacentral:lncRNA from 1 species